rnacentral:lncRNA from 1 species
CCGUUCUUCGUUUUGUGGGUUAACAAUGGUGGUGGUGGUGGUGAUGUCGAUAACCAUCCUGAGUUCCAGCUACAGCUGCAGAGGUUCGAUUCUGAUGAAGGCCAACGCCACGUUGGGUAGCGUGAUGACGACCGAGUUGAUCAUCAAGCACGAUAUAACUCGGUAUCUCAUAUUCAAGGGUGCCACCGCAGUGACAGGUGCGACUGCGGACCCAAACAUCGUGACAUGUGGCAAUGGCGCCGGAAACACGUUUUCCGGCUGCGGUGGUAAUGCUAAUAAUACACAACAGUGCAAUGCAUACCAAGGACCUAACGCUUGCUUAUAAUCCCUUCAGUUCCAUAUUAAUAUGAUCACUAUGACUCUGCGCAGUUUCUAUGUCAUCGUGUAAUCCCCUGUUUUUUAUGAUCCUCUGUUCUUCUUUCUAUUUCUCUUUGAAGUGGAGUUUGUUUGUUUGAUGCUUUCAUUAACAAUGUAUUUGGUGCUUUGUUGUUUGUUUUUGUGAAAUAAGAACUAAAUCAAAUCACUUUUCUUCUUCUCUCUCUUGUUCAAUCCAUUGAUCCUCUAAGUAUUUUCGUAAUAAAGAUUAAAUUGUUACCGUCUACAAACUUAUAAUCUUUAUUGUUAUAUACGUAUGGUUAAGUUUUGAGUUUGAUUUCGAUUUGAUCUCUAAUUUUCAAAAUGUUGUAUUUUAAUAUUGAUAUUUGAAUUUUAUUUUAAUUUGGUCCAUAGAAUAUUUACAUUUGUCAUCUCAACUUUUCACUUAUUAAUAAUGUAUGUUAAUAAAUUUAGAAUAAUUAAAAGAAAUAUAAUGAACUAGAAUUCACUUUUUUCCUUCCUUUUAAAAUUAAUUUAGAAUUUUACGUCUUAAUUAUUUUAAAUUAAUUAGAAAACAUUAACGUCCAUCAUUCUAAAUGAGUAUUUAUUAAAAAAAAGAAAUAAAAAUAUAAAAUAUUAAAUUCUGAAAACCAAAUUGAAACAAAGUUCAAAUCUUAAAAUUUAAAACGUAACAUUUCACUCAAUAGAAACUAAACUUAAAAUCUAUAUAUAAAAUACUUAUUAUCUGACUGAACACCAAAUAUAAAUUAAAAGUCAAUUUUAAAUUUUUAAGAAUUUGAAAAUGAAAUAGAUUCAAACGUAAAAAUUUUAAUUUUACAAAUAUUUUAUUUUAGAAAAAAAUAUCAUUUUACAAGUAUGAAUUUUUCCAAUUCUAUCUGUAUAAACUUUAAAUUAAUAAAAUUUAUAAUCCAUUUUAAUAGUAAUUUUAUUAACCCAUUAUUUGAAAAGUAUGCACAGGAGCUAUAAUUGAAUGCAAUAUGGCAACUUUUAAAUGUAAUAUAAUCAUGAUAAAAGAUUUAGAUUAUUCACUUAUAACACUUUAGAAAUUUAAUUAAAAAGUUUAAUAUUUAAAUUAAUGAUUGGUUGUAUUAAUUGAAAACUUUAACUUUAUUUUUAUUACAUCAAAUUGCACUAAUAAAGUAGUGAAAGUUAGGAAAAGCAAAAACUAAAAAGCAAGAGGAAGUCCCCACAUUCCAUGCGACAUGUCGUAUUGAAAUAUGCUUUUAUCUCUUUUAAAAGUUGUUGUGUCGUUCGUCUCGUGGGAAUAGAAAACUAUUAGGAAUAUUUUGGAUAAAAAUCAUUAUAAUUUGGUCCAAAUCUUUUCUAAUCCACAAAAGCAACUUUAGGUUUUGUACUAAUACGAGCCAACCUUUACUAAUUUCUUUUACUAUUUGUUACGAUAGAUUUGGAUUAGAGGGAAAAUUAUCAGAUUAAGUAUUAAAACAUGGGAGUCUAGGUCGAUGUGUUCAAACUAACCUAUUAGGCCUCUUGUUCUUGGCCAAGGACGAUGGAGGCAUGCUCUGGCCUAUUUAGGUCAAAGUUAGAUCAAGAGGAAGUCUCUUCAUUUAAUGAAUGUGGGAUCAUUUGAUUGAGAAUUAACCUAAUAUGACUCGAAAUUCCUCAUAUAUAUAUGAACAACUUAGAUCAGAAUUUCACUAUAAAUACAUUGUUGUGAUGAUUUUAAGAGAAGUAAGUUCAUUUUCAUCCCUAAAAUUCUUGUUACAACCAAAAGCUACUUUUUGACUAAGGUAUUGGAGACGUGAUAAUUUUGUCCAUCAACACUCCCGAUCUUAAACUUAUAAUUACAUAGAACAUAUUGAUAAGGUAUUAAUGUCGGUCAAUAUGGUUUUACAUUGUAAAGAAAUCUAAAAUCAACAAAAUGUUUUGAUUUUUCUCUCGACGAAGAUAUUAGAUACUUAAAAAAAUUAUAUCUAUAAAUUUCAACCCUAAAUUACCAAUAAAACAUACUACACAUGUGAUUUGGUGAAAUCAAGAUUGGCAUCUUGGAUGUUCAAAAACUAAUAUAAAACAAAUUAAGAAAAGUUACCUAUUCAUUUAUAUUUGUUUGUUCUAAAAUAAAUUGAAUUGUUUUUCUAAACUUAACUUUUACACAGAAAACAAUUUUCGUCGAUGAUUAAACAAGAUCUCGAGAAUGAAAAUGAAAUCUACGAUACUUAAAUUCCUACCAACCAAAAAUCCUUUAAAUUAGUAAUGGAAGAAUGAAAUAUGAUCCUCUCAAUUAUUUAAUUAUAUUGACCUUUAUAAAUCACAUUUUUCAUGGCAACAUAUAAUUAUUGAUUCACUUUAGAUACAAUAAUAGUGAAGUUCUUAUUUGUGGAAUGGUAUGAUUGGUCAUAAGGCUAACUUUAAACUUUAACUUUAAUACCAAAAAGUUUCUCUCUCAAGUCUUGGUCUAUUAAAUAUUAUAAAGUAAAAGGACUCAAUUACAAAGUGAUUGCAAUAAGAGAAAAGAUAAAGGGUUUUAAAGCAUAAAAUAAAAAAGACAAGGAAAGAAAAUGGUUUCUUCACUGUAAAUAUUAUCAUUGUUGUCUUCAAUCAUUUGGUCUAUUUCUUCCCCUUCAAUAAUUCAAUACCCAAAUCAAUUACACAAUGUUUUCUAUUCUUAUUUAAUUUCUAACCUACCUUAAACCCGUUUACGCGUUAUAAAAAAUCACUUAAAUGAACUAAAAUUGUACCUAAAUGUUAGUGUGAUUUUGAGGAGAGACCUCGCAACAUGUAUAUAAAGUAUGUAGGUUAAUAUCUCGUAUUUCCAUUGUUCACAAUGUCUAUGAGAUACGUAGACCUUAUGUUGCAUAUGCUUUAAGAAAUUCUUUUCUCUAAAGAUUCAUUUAUUCUCGUAAUGUUUUAGUACAUACUCUUGGAAUUUCAGACAAACAUUUAAUAUAUUGAUUUGUUUUACAAAAUUUUACUUUUUAAAACUUUAAUAUUGUUAUCGAAAGAAACUUUAAAAUCUACCUAACAUGUUAGGAUUAUUUUAUAAAUUAAAAUAAAUUAUUUGUUAACAUUCUAAUUAUUUUUAAAAAAAUAGUAAAAGAUAGGAAAAUUUUCAAAAAUAAUAUAUUUGAGAAAAUAUUUAAUAUUUAGGAUUGAUAUCUUUAUUUCCACAUUAAGAAAAGUUUUAGAUAUUGUAUGAUGGAGUGUAUGUUCAUACAUAAAUAAAAAUUUGUAUAUUUUUAAUCUUUUAUAAAGGAAUGUGUUUUAUCUUUUUUUCUUUUCAAACUUUCCUUUCUAAAAAAGUAUAAGCAUUAAGUAUUAACACUUUUUCUCAAUUCAAAACUCUCCAUUUCAAUCCGCAUAACCAAAAAAGAUUCUUCAAUUCUUUGUCAUGAAAAUCCUUACUCCCUUCUUCGUCUUCUUCUUCCUUCUUCUUCUUCUUCUUCUUCUUCCUCCCUCCACUUCUCAAACUUCUUAUUACGUCCCUGUCGAUAACAUAGCCGUCAAUUGCGGUACCAAAGCCAUCACUGACACCGGCGAUCGAAAAUGGAUCGGCGACGUCGCUACUAAUUACUCCCCAUCCGAACCACCAAACACAGUCAACAAGUCCACCUUCAAGUCCAUUAUCUCAAACACCAUCAGCGACGAGAUCUACAGAACUGUACGCCUCUCUCGCUCUCCCUUCACCUACUCUUUCCCGGUCACUGCCGGCCCCAAAUUCAUCCGUCUCUACUUCUACCCGGAAAAAUACGAAGAAUUUAAUAGAUCCGAUGCCUUCUUCACUGUUCAAGCUGCCCAGUUCACUCUCCUUAAAAACUUCAGCGCUGCCCUCGUCGCUGAUUUCAUCAAUAAAAGCGUCAUCCCAAGAGAAUUUUGUAUCCAUAUCGCCGGAGAAGCACCAAAGUUGAACAUUACCUUCACCCCAUCUCCGAAUUCUUAUGCCUUCGUCAACGGAAUUGAAGUGGUCUCUAUGCCGGAAAACCUCUACUACUCUCCUGCGGAGCAGGGAACGACGACGCCGAUUAUUGGAAACAACAUCGCCCUUGAGCUUUAUCAUCGAAAAAAUCUUGGCGGUGACGACAUCUUUCCGAGUCAAGAUUCCGGCAUGUACCGAAAUUGGGAUGGGACUAAUCUACAUAUAACAACCAAACGAGUUAUCCCAAUACAUAAUGACUCUGUUUCUAUAAACUACACAACGAGCACUCCUAACUUCACAGCCACAGAUUCAGUUUAUCAGUCUGCUCUAAUUCUGGGUGUGAAUCGAACUCUCAAUUCUAAACAAAAUUUAUCGUUUCAAUUGCCCGUUGAUGUCGGGUUCAAUUAUUUGGUACGACUCCAUUUUUGCCAAAUUCUUAUGGAUCAGUUUCAAGGAAAACAGAAGAUUUUCACAGUGUUCAUCAAUAACCAAAAUAUCACCACUGUCGAUAUAGAUUCCAUCAAUACUCCUUUAUACAGAGAUUAUAAUGCACGGCCAAUGGCGGUUGGGAAUACUUCCGCUAUCUUAGUUGAUUUACACCCCUUACCAAGUGAGACCUUCGAUGUGAUUUUGAAUGGAUAUGAAGUGUUCAAACAAAGCAAUGGAACUAAUCUUGCAGUACCAAACCCAGUGGUCGCUCUAGCACCAGAAAUUAAACGGGGAGCCAAAAAUUCAAAUGCAACAGCGAUCAUCGCUGCUGUGUGCAGUAGCGUGGGAUUUGCCAUAUUAUCUUCAAUCGUUGGAUUUGUGGUUAUAUGGAAACAGAGUAAGAAGAUGAGGAAGAGAAGGAAGAAGAAGAAGAAAACAAGAGAGGAUAAGUUGCUGCCGGAACGACGGUGCCGGAUUUUCACCUUCGAAGAGAUUUGUGAAGCGACAGAUUACUUUAGCAAAGAGAGACAGAUAGGAGUCGGAGGAUUUGGUGCGGUUUACAAAGGAAUUUUCGAGGAUGAAGACGAUCUCACCGUCGCAAUCAAACGGUUGAACCCAGAAUCCAACCAAGGCGAACAAGAAUUCGUAACAGAGAUUGAAUUGUUAUCGGAGCUCCGUCACUUCAACCUUGUAUCUCUCAUCGGAUAUUGCUUGGAAAACAAGGAAAUGUUGCUAGUUUACGAAUAUAUGCCAAACGGAACAUUCAAAGAUCAUCUCUACGACACCUCGAAUUCUCUUCUAUCAUGGAGGAAGCGCCUAGAAAUCUGCGUUGGGGCAGCACGUGGUUUAGACUACCUACACUCCGGAUUCGAUCGACCCAUCAUCCACCGCGACGUGAAGACUACGAAUAUCCUUCUAGACGAAAAUUGGGUUGCAAGAGUUUCCGAUUUCGGGAUGUCGAAAUUGGGGCAAACCAACACGGCAGUCAGCACGGCAGUGAAAGGAACUUGGGGCUAUUUAGACCCGGAAUAUCAUCGACGUCUGAAAGUGACAGAAAAAUCCGACGUAUUCUCAUUUGGGGUCAUCUUGUUCGAAGUGCUGUGUGGGAGAAAACCAUUGGACCCGCUUGCCGGUGAAGAGAAGUUCAAGCUUACGCUAUGGGCUAAGAAAUGCUUGGAGAAAGGGAAUGCUUAUGAAAUUAUCGAUCCGCAUUUAAAAGGGAAGAUUUCAUGUGAUUGUUUAAAGCAAUACUUGGAAUUGGCGACAACGUGUAUCAACGAUCAUUCAAAGCAUCGGCCGAGAAUGGAGGUGGUGGAGGAGAAAUUAAGGUUCAUCUUGAAGCUGCAAGAGGAAGCAGAUGGGGAUUGUCCGGACACGGAAUUGAGUUAUCCAGAGGAGCCAUUUUCGCCGAUAAGGUCAUCAGGAGGUUCUCUACGGACUGAGUCGUAUAAAAGCCACAUCGCCACCAUGCUCAGCGGCUCCGAUUUCACGGUAUCGUCGCUUAUGAGUGAAGAAAUGUUAAGUGAACAGAGCUCCGGUUCUAUGGCGUAUUCUCGGAAGACAUAAUUUAUUUCUUAAAAAAAAAAUCCUUUUUGUUCUUCUUUUUCUUUUUAUAAUUUUAUUUAAAAUACCGUUUUAGCGGUUAGGUUUUGAAAAUAACGUUAUAGUUUGGAGUUGGUUUAGUUCUUAAAGCACUUAUGCUUUGAACUAAAAGUAAUGAAUAUAUAUAAACUAGUCUCUGUAAAUUUUACAAACGUAAUGUAUGUUUGUUGUGGAUUUUAUUUAAUUUUGAUUGCCAUACAUAUGACUUGAUUAAUAAAUUAAAUAUAUAUAUGAUUGUUAAAACAAUUGGUUGAAAGGGUAAUCUAAUAGUGAAGUUUUUAUCCGUGGAAUGGUAGGAUUGGACAUACAUCGUCUACCUAAUUAGGCCUUAUUCUUUUAACUUUAACUUUACUACCAAGAAGUCCCACAUACAAUUCUUGGUCUAUUAAAUUUUUAAAAGUAAAAGGGUCGGACUCUAUUGGCUUAUUAAGAGAAAACACAAAAGGGUUUUAAAGCAUAAAAAAGAAAGAGAAAAGGGAAAGAAAAUGGUUUCUUCACUCUAAAUAUUAUCAUUGUUGUCCUCAAUCAUUUGAUCCACUUCUUCCCCUUCAAUAAUUCAAUACCCAAAUCAAUUACAUAUGCUUUCUAUUCUUAACUAUAUUCUCACCUACCUAACCCUAAAACAAAAAUGUGCUAUCCAAACUAAUAAAAUGGUUAAACACUAAGAAAACUUUUAAAUAUUAUAUGUUAGUGUAUGUUCAUGAAGAAAUAAAAGUUUGAAUCUUAUUAAUUUUUUUAAGAAAAGAAUGUGUUUUAUCUUUUUUUUUUCUUUUCAAACUUUCCUUUACUUUUUAAAAGUAUAUAUUCAUUUCAAAACUCUCUAUUUCAAUCUGCAUAAGAAACAAAACAUUAUUUUUUCUUUAAAAAGAAUCUUCAAUUGUUUGCCAUGAAAAUCCUUACUCCCUUCUUCCUCUUCUUCUUCCUUCUUCUUCUUCUUACUCCCUCCACUGCUUAUCAAAGUUCUUAUUACAUCCCAGUCGAUAACAUCGCCGUCGACUGCGGCGGCAUCUCUGCCUUCACUGACACCGGCGAUCGAAAAUGGACCGGCGACGUCGCUACUAAUUUCUCCCCAUCUGAACCACCAAACACAGUCAACAAGUCAAUGGUAAAGUCCAGUAAUUCAAACACCAACAACGACCCUCUCUACAAAACGGUACGCCUCUCUCGCUCUCCCUUCACCUACUCUUUCCCGGUCACUCCCGGCCCCAAAUUCAUCCGUCUUUACUUCCUGCCGGAAAAUUUCGACGAAUUUCAUAGAUUCGACGCCUUCUUCACUGUUCAAGCUGCUCAGUUCACUCUCCUUAAAAACUUCAGAGCCUCACUUGUCGCUGAUUUCUCCAAUAAAAGCUUCAUCGCAAGAGAAUUUUGUAUUCAUGUCCCGGGACAAGCAUCAAAAUUGAACAUUACCUUCACCCCAUCUCUGGAUUCUUAUGCCUUCGUCAACGGAAUUGAAGUGGUCUCCAUGCCGGAAAACCUCUACUACUCUCCUGUGAAACAAGGAAGGACGACGCCGGUUAUUGGAAACAAUAUCGCCCUCGAGCUUUAUCAUCGGAAAAAUCUCGGCGGUGAAGACGUCCUUCCGAGUCAAGAUUCCGGCAUGUACCGAAAUUGGGAUGGGAGUAACCUAUAUAUAACCACCAAACAAGUUAUCCCAAUACAAAAUGACUCUGUUUCUAUAAACUACACAACGACCACUCCAAACUUCACAGCUACAGAUUCAGUUUACCAGUCCGCUAUAAUUUUGGGUACGAAUCGAACUCUCAAUUCUAAACAAAAUUUUUCGUUGAAAUUGCCCGUUGAUUUCGGGUUCAAUUAUUUGGUACGACUCCAUUUUUGCCAAAUUCAUAUGGAUCGGUUCCAAGAAAAAGAGAGAAUUUUCACUGUGUUCAUCAAUAACCGAAAUAUAGCCGUUGUCGAUAUAGAUUCCGUCAAUACUCCUUUUUACAAAGAUUAUAAUGUACCAAUGGCGACUGGGAAUACUCCAUUUAUCUUACUGGAUUUACACCCCUUACCAAGUGAGAGCUUCGAUGUGAUUUUGAAUGGAUAUGAAGUGUUCAAACAGAGCAAUGGAACUAAUCUUGCUGUACCAAACCCAGUGGUCGCUCUAGCACCGGAAGUUAAACGGGUAGCCAAAAAUUCAAAUGCAACAGCGAUCAUCGCUGGCGUGUGCAGUAGCAUGGGAUUUGCCAUAUUGGUUUCAAUCGUUGGAUUUGUGGUUAUAUGGAAACAGAGUAAGAAGAAAACGAAGAAAAGGAAGAAGAAGAAGAAAACAAGAGAGGAUAAUUGGCUACCGGAACGACGGUGCCGAAUUUUCACCUUUAAAGAGAUUUGUAAAGCGACAGAUAACUUCAGUAAAGAGAGAGAGAUAAAAGUUCACAGAGGAUUAAGUGUCAUUUACAAAGGAAUUUUCGAGGAUGAAGGCGAUCUCACUGUCGCAAUCAAACGGUUGAAAGACCUCCCGGAAUCGAACGUAGGGGAACAAGAAUUCGUAAGAGAGAUUGAAGUGUUAUCAGAGAUUCGUCACUUGAACCUUGUAUCUCUCAUUGGAUAUUGCUUGGAAAACCAGGAAAUGUUUAUAGUUUACGAAUUUAUGGUAAACGGAACAUUCAGAGAUCAUCUCUACGGUACAUCAAAUUUUCUUCUGCCAUGGAGGAAGCGCCUAGAAGUCUGCAUUGGAGCGGCGUGUGGUUUAAACUACCUACACACUGGAUUCGAGCGACCCAUCAUCCACCGGGACGUCAAUACAACAAAUAUCCUUUUAGACGAAAAUUGGGUUGCAAGAGUUUCUGAUUUAGGGAUGUCGAAAUUGGGGAAAACUAACAUGGCAGUCAGCGCGGUGGUGAAAGGAACUUAUGGUUAUAUAGACCCGGAAUAUUUCAAUAAUAAGACAGUGACAGAAAAAUCUGACGUAUACUCAUUUGGGGUCAUCUUGUUGGAAGUGAUCUGUGGGAGAAAACCAUUGGAACGGCUUGCUGGUGGGGAGUGGUUCGGCCUUGUGGUAUGGGUUUUGGAAUGCUUGGAGAAUGGGAAUGUUUAUGAAAUUAUGGAUCCGAAUUUAAAAGGGAAGAUUACAUAUGAUUGUUUUAAGCAAUACUUGGAAUUGGCGAUAACAUGUAUCAACCAACAUUCAAAGCAUCGACCGAGAAUGAAGGAGGUGGAGGAGAAAUUAAGGUUGAUCUUGAAGCUGCAAGAGGAAGCAGAAGCAGAAGCAGAAGCAGAAGGGGAUAUUUCCAACGGUGAUUAGAGUUAUCCAUAGGAGCCAUUUUGGCUGAUAAAGGCAGUAGGGCAUUUCCUUUUUACAAAACACAAAAACUGCUAUUUACAUUUGUAAUGGACUUGUGUUUAUUCGCUUAUGACUGAAGAAAUGCUAAGUGAACAAAACAUUCGGAUAUGCUAUGUGGCCUAUUUGAUCAGAAGACAUAAUUUGUUUUUCAAAAGUUCCUUUUUAUAAUUUUCUUUAGCCAUUAGGUUUUGGAAAUAAGGUUAUAGUUUGGAGAUGGUGUAGCUAUUAAAUCACUUAGUGCUUUAAAGAAAAAGUAAUGAAUGUAAAUUAGGUUUUGUAAAAUUUCAACUUUUUCCCUAACUUAGAUCACUUUAACUAAAAUUUUAAUUUAAAAUGUCAAAUUCUCAGCUCCUACUUAAAACCUAACAUGUGUAAAAUUAAUAUUUAUCUUAAAUCCUUAAUCUUACACGUUAACGCCUUUCAAAUAUCAGAUUUGAUAUUUUUUCGUCAAACCUUUCUUCUCGCCUAAUUCCAUUUGGCAAAUAGCUUUAACUCCUUAACAUAACUUCCAAAUGUCUCUUAACGCGUAACUCUUCUCGCGGACUACCCAACUUUAUCGCGAAGACUCUUUCUCAGUUAAACACCUAGACUUCAUAGAUCUUAUCGCAAAUCCUUAUUUUCUCAAAGUUUCCUUGCAAACUAACCUCUUAAUCACGUAGACUGACCAAAAUGCUCUUGUCUAAAUCGGAAAAAUUGAAUACCUGAGCAAAUUUUACUUCUUAUACUCAAAUUAGAAGCACGUCUCACAAACCGAUAGCACAUUUUUCAUAUUGAAAACUAUCACUUAUAGAAAAACUACUAAUAACAGCUAUUUAUGAUAACGAUUGAUUGCACAUUUCUCAAAUUUAAAGUUAUCAUAGAUAGUAGUUGUCGAUCAUAUAUAUAAUUCAAAUAAAAGUCAUUCUUAAAGCAACUGAUAACAAUUAUCAAUUAUCAAUUUUAUGCUACAUACCAAAAUUAUUUUAUCCUUGUCUUAAAAGUUAUUUAUGCAACAAAUCCUUGCAGUACUUAAGUCUCAAACUAAUAAUACUUCCUUCAUUGAUUUGAUUCCCUUCUUAUUACAAAUUUUAUUGUUUUGCAUCAACUGUUUGACGUUAUUUAGCUUAAAAGAAAAACUACUCUCUACAUUUGUAUAGACUAUAUCUAGAAAAACAAAAAUAACGAAACCAUCGCUUGGACUAAUGACUUAAAUGUUUCAACAAGAUUACACUCUACCAUAAUUGAGUAUGUGUUAAUACAUAUACAUUGUUUCAAUUUAAUACAUGAAAUUGAGACGUGUGGAUCAUAAUUAAAUUUAUGGAGAUGAAAACUCUGUCAAUCGUGUUUGUAAUUCAAGUUACUCUAUUUAUCAUAACGAAUUGUUAAAACAUUAUUGGUUGAAUUUUACCGUGGGAUAUGUUAUGGUUUGUAUAUAAGCUGUGUUUAAAGUUGGUUAUACAAAGAUUAGUAUCAACAUUAACUUUAACCUUUUCUUUAAUUAUUAAAAAUAUUUAAUGGCAACUUUUGAAGGUUAAAAAAAGAGAAUAUUUUAACCUUCAAAGUUAUUAACCAUUUUAUUAAAGUUUUAGAGUAUUAUUUGAUUUGCUCUUUUUAAGUCAAAAUUGAUGGGAUCAUACAAAAGAAGAAAACAAAACCCUAACUUUACUUUACUUUCACAUUAUUUUCUUUCAUCUUCUUCCUUCCAACUCCGUUGCUCCCCAAUAUUUGAACUGCUGCUUUUGCCAACAAUCGAAGGACAGACUAGCGAAGAAUUGGGUUGCCGGAGUUUCACAACACCGACGCAAAGCUCUAGACUCUCAUAAUGAGCAACAAGCAGGGCCCUCCCAAGCACCAGAACAAAUACGCUUGGAAACCCAACGCCGGCCGCAAAAUCAACGAAACGGUAAUCUAAUUUCACCACCUUUUUUUUCUCUUCUUUUCUGUUAUCUAAAUGUUAACCUCCUUCGCUUUUACUAUGACAUUUUUAGUACAGGAGGUUGGAGGUAGGUUCCGCCCCUUAUCUGACAUCACCGGAGUUUGUCUCCGUUGUAAGGACCAAAUUGAUUGGAAACGCCGUUACGGAAAGUACAAACCUCUUUCUGAACCUACUAAAUGGUAUACAUACUUUUUCUUUUUUCUUCCAUUUUUUCGUUAUUUGUUUCUUUUUCUGAGGUUGGAUUGGUAAAUUUGUGUUGAAUGUAUUGCAGUCAAUUGUGUUCAAAGCGGAAUGUUCGUCAAGCGUAUCACAAUCUCUGCCCCGGUUAGUUUAAAUUAUCAGUAGCUUUCUUGUUUAUGUGAAUUUAUUUUUGUUGUUCUGAAGAAAUAAAUUUCUAGGGGAAAAUGUGUCAUUAUGAACGAAGUUCAGCAGUAAGAGCUAAGAGUGACUUUAAUGUUUAUAUAGGUUGUGCCAAGGAGCAAGGUGUAUGUGCAAAAUGUCGUUGUCGUGUAGAUCAAACUGUUGGAAGGUGUGUUUUAUGAAUUGCUGAAGAUUAAUGUGUGAAUUUUGUGGACUAAGAAUGAAUAUCUAGUGUUACAAAAACUGUUUUUUAAAUUCUAAGGCCUUUCCAUCUGUCUUUUCUAGGGAUUUGUCUGAAGUGGAAGCUGAGCAAAAGAUGCUUCAAGAGGUAUGAUUUUCCCCUCAUGUUAUGGUGAUAAAUUUUCAAAUGUAGCUCACAGGUUUGGUGAUUGCUGCAGGCAAUAAAGAAUGCUCGAGAAAGGGAUCGUAGAACUCUGUUACGUGCUGUAAGCUUCUGUUUUUUGUUAUUGUUUAUUUUAUUUAUUUACUUAUUAUUUUGUUUAUUUGCAUAUUGAAUGAAACUACGAAAGAUAUUUGGUGAAUAAAAUAGAAUUUUGGAAGUUAUAGAGUGUUUGUCUAGCACUUGAGAAUUGAGAGCAUUUUGUUCACUUUUGUGCCUCAAUUGUUUUCUGUUUGGGGAAGCCUUUUUUCAACACUCCCUACACCUAGUGCUGUUUUUAAUGGCUUAAUGCAAGGUCUCAAUGUAAAGAGCAACACGUAUUUUCCAUUUCAAGAGUUAGUCAUAUUUUGUAAAUCAGGUUAACCUUAGAAGUUGGACGAGUUGUGCUGGUUGUAAAUAAGCCAAGAAGUAAUUACAAAGGCUCUAUGUUGAGCACUCCCACUAGAGGUUGUAAGCAGGAAAAGUUUACCAAAAGAUUAAAGAGAAUUGUUAAGGAAAAUCCUCAAGUUUCUUUCUAGCACAUAACACACAUUAGGGCAACAGCAAAUGUAGGGAAUCUUCUUUGAACCAAACCCAUUGUAUUGAUAUUAUUCAACGCCACAGUCCACAAAAAGAAUUUCACACUUGGAGAGAAGACAAACCCAAAUCUGUAAACAAAGGUCUUCAUCAAUCCCUAUUUUUUUCCCCUCCUGAAGAACUACUUCCAUAGCUGAUUUGAUAGAAAAUACUCCAGAUUCCAGAACUAUCCACCUUCCAGACCAGCAUGUUGGCCCUUUGGGAAGGAAAAUUUUUUUUUGAACAUGGAAGCUAGUUGAGCUCAUUGGAAUGCUUUUAUCUACCCCCAGCCCCAGCCCUUUGAAUGUUUUGUUCUCUUUUGAAAUAUAUUCCUUCGCUUCCUAUAAAAAAAGUUAUUUAAUCUAAAUUCUGUGAUGGUUUCUCUUGAAGUGUUGAGCUCUAUGACAUCUAGUCAUAGUAAUUUUGUGUUGCAUUGUAACAGUAAGAAUUGAAUUUAUAGUAAUUCGAUGGACCUCUAGCCCUCUAGGAACCUUUGAAAAGAAAUCUCAAAAUGUUUCCCCACUUCUUGUUUGUUAUGUAUGCUGGUAGUAGUGGCAGGAAGGAUCCUCAGCUUUUCAAUAGUUCUAUCGAAUUGUUAAUCUUAAACUAAUAUUCUUCAUACUCACAAAGAAUCUUUUUCCUCCGUUAUUUUGUUGAGGGCCAUGUCUCAUUUCAUUUUGGGAUCUGUGAGCCAUUUUCAAUGUAGUUACAUCAUGGACUUUCAUGGGGUAGCCAUAACAGGAUCUUUUGUAAUUUUUCCAUUCAUUCAGUUAGAUUGGAAGGGCUUUUUUUCUUUUUUUUUCUUUUUUUUUUUUGGUUUUGUUUCUGUAAGUUUGCAGGGAAGCGACUUCUUUUAGAAUGAAAUGUUUUUUUUGUUCUUAUAUAACAAAAAAGGAAUUUUUUGGUCGGUUUUUUUUUCUCUUUUCUCUCUUUUUUCUCACUCAUCUUCAUAUAAUUCAAGAUGCAAGCUGGUUUUUUCACUCAUCUUAGUAAAAACUGGUUUUUUAUUUUAUUAUUAUUUUUUCGUUUCGAUUCUCUGGUUGAUUCAUAUAAUUUGUUUAAUUGAAACAGAUGGAGAAAGGAAAAGCUAAGAGUUCAAAUAAAAACAAAUCAGCAGUUGAAGAAGAAACGAAGGAUGGAGAUUCAAUUCAUUCACCAACUGAAGUGCAAGCUGAAAUAGGUCGAAAUGAGGAUGAUAAUGAAAGUACAGACGACACGGAUGGAGAUAACUACGAAAAUGAAGAUGAACAUGAAUGUGAAAAUGAGAAAGAUGAAGAUGGGAAAGAGUAGUAAAUUAAAAUCAAUCUUUAUGGCCAUAGAAGUUUGUAGAAUCCUAUUUCUUUGUAUGAGGUUAAAUUUUGAUUGAGUUCUUCAUGUGCUUUGGUUCUCUAGGAGUGAAAUCAACUAUUGUGAUAUAAAAUUUUGGUUAAAAUACCUUUUUGAUUCUUAUAUUUAUGAAACAUUCUUCUUUUUUUCUUUUUUUUUGAAGAUGAGAAGAUCACACUUUGUUUUCUAUCUUGGUUGGUCUAGGGCUCUUCCAAAGAGGACAUGAAAGUUGAUUAUAAUGUUAUCCAUCGACCCCUCCUUCAAAUCUAAGAAACUUAUCUGAUUUACCACUGUCGGUGUAGUUUUGUAGAAAAUUUGAGAAAGAAAGAAAUGCUAGGUCUUUUCCAUGGCAAAGAUAGAUCCUCCAAAGAAGUUUUAGAGAUUUCAAUUUUUCAUGCUCUUAUAUUUGUCUAAAAUGUACUAUCGGUUGUAAAUUGAAAACAUCGUUCAUUCAAUCAAUGAAACAGUUUCUUACAAAGAAAAGCACAAUCCUACAUAAAUUUCUACCAUUUUUUUAACAUUGCUUAGAAAAACUUAGAUUUUAGUAGUUUUUUGUGUUGGUUGGUUAAACUUGUGUCUUCCCUAGAUCUGAUUCAUUUUUAGCUCAUCUAUUUUAGACAAAAGUAACAAAAAAGUGGCUUAGCACAAGCUCAACUAGCAUGUGCUGAGGACCUUUUGAUACGUGGUUCAUCAAACCCCCUAACCCCAUUUCUAACAGAAAAAAAACAAACUCAAAGACCAAAAUAUUAAAUUUCAAAAGCCUUGUAAGUGUACUGAAAUGAUUGAUCAAGAAUAAUAUUUGUUAGUUCAAAUACAACGUGAGAAUACUAAGCUUACAUUCUCUUUUUUGAUGAACUGAGUUUAUUGUGAUGAAAUAUACUAAAAUAUGUCUAAAAAAUUCAGGGGCUAUUCGAAAUCAACUCCCUAAAAAUGAAUGUGGUUUUCAGAUGGAAUGAAAUUCUGCUCUGUAGUCAAUACACAAAUGCUUCAACAGCAAUAACCUAUCUUCAAGUGAAUUCUAGCCUUGUUUUGAGGACAAAAAGAGUUGACAAGUUGCUUCCGCUCUAAAAUCUUUGAUGAGGUCAAGUCUGUUCAUCUUUUGCACACAACCGCUCUAAAUUUUGAACAACAACAUCGCAUGAGAAGGGGAAACUAUUCACAAAUAUAACAGAGAUUAAAGUAAAAUGGUGUGUAGAUUUAAGAAAAUUACAUCCUAAUAACUGCAAAAAGUAACGAGUGAGAGAUUUGAAACUAUGCGUUUAAAGUUCAAAAGAAAAUUUUUGAUAUACGUGCAAUAAGUAGGAGGUUUGGCUCAAGGAUUUAUGUGCUUCUCACAACUAAAAAAACAUAAAUUUCAUGGCUUACUAAGUUCUUACACGGUGGAUCUCACAAAGUUAACAAUUCUAGAUUUUUUAACUAUUUGUUCCCAAUGUCUUCUAAAAAGUUCCCAAUAAUUCAUAUUCGCAAUAAGGAUUCCCAUAAAAGAUGAAUAUUUUCUGCUUUGAAGAUGUUGACAUCAACAUAAAAAAUGGUCUAUAAUUGAACGUAGAUAUGUGUAGAUAUGUGCGUAUGCAUGUGUUCAAUUGUAUCAUUAAUAAAGUGCAGGCUAAAGAAGUCUUACUCAAGUACUCGUAGGCCAAUAUCAUCGAUGUUCCCCAGGCAGACAUGCUGAAGAACCGAGGACCAAGCCCCCUAUAAAAACCUUUCCACCCAUCCUCAGCGAUUAAGCUUUCAACAAUUUGUCUAGCUGUCUUCCCUUUAUCGCCCAUCACCUAUGAACAAACACAACUCAUCAAAACAUAGAACUCAUCAACAGAACCUGAGUCAGAAAGUCAUGACUCGUCACAUGGAUGAAAUUAAGGUAGUACUAUGAUGAGAUACUACCUUUCCAUAAUGAUUUAAAAAAUCUCAAAAAGACAAAAAAGGUUUCAGAAAUUCGAAUUUGUGGUUAUUUGAUGUUCUAUUUAUAAAAAAAAAAAUAUGUGAGUGAUCAAGCACUUAUGUGCAUUUUGACUACAAAUCUAAAAAUACUUGGUAGUCAAGAAACUCAGAUAUCUAUCAGCCUUCACAAGAUCAUAUAUUGAAAAUUUGGGAGGUUGUUGCAUCUAAAAUUGCCUCACCCCAAGGGGCCUUUGCCUUUAUCAAAGCAAAAUAGUCUUGGGGUUGAGCAAGCAAGGCCCAAGCUAGAUACUGACAUUUGGAACCUUGCACGAGAGUUUCAAGUUUUAGCCUGAUUACAUGUACAACACCAACCAGUGAAGGCAAUGCUUUCCCAAACUUCAGUACAACAAUUAGUAUAAAAAACAGAUUACCAUGGCAAAUCACAAUGAUCAACAAACCCACCAAUCCUCUUAUUUUAAAUAUCGCUGCUCCAAUGAGACUGUUGCAGAAUGAACGAAGCAGGUGGGUGCCAUCUACAAUUUGCAUUUUAGAUAGUCAAAUAAUAGUGGGGACUUGACCUUCCUAGACUAAUGAAUUACUCAGGAAACUUUACGAAGUAUAGAAGGGCUGGUUUGGAUUUUCUUCAGAGCCACUAAAUAAAGUGUUAGACAAGGUGACUUGUCUCUUCCCCCUUUCCUGUUGUAGGCUGGGUUGAUAUCCCAAGAAGUCGUUUGGAGAAAAAUAUGAACCCCAAUACCUGAUCUUUUAGGUUCGGGGAUAGGAACCAUUCUAUUAAUUUUCCCAUUUAAAGAACAGUCUCUUUUUCCUGUUUUUAUUUAAGGACGGCCAUUUCCAAUUCGGUCAGUGGUAAACCUUAUAGGGGUUUUAGCAAGUAGAGCGAGGAGUUCUAAGUUGGACAAGUAGUUUUAGUGGCAAACUGGCAGUGCCAAAUGAUCAAAGAGUUCAAGGGCGGCAACUUCAGAACAAGGAGAGGUUAGUUACAUUGGUGAAAAAAGAGGCUUCUAUGCCUUGGAACUCUUGAGAAAGAUUGUUUCAAAAUCCAACCCUUAUCCUCAAGACUGGUGCUCUUGGGACUACCAACCUCAAGAAGGAAUUACAAAGCUUUUUGAUGAAAAAAGUAAAGAUUUUUCACAUGAAACUGGAGAGUUGUGAAAUUUUUUUUUGAAAGAAAGUUUGGGGUGGAGAAAAGGUUUUCAAACAAGAGUAAUUUUGGUAAAUACAGAGGCCUGCUUGUAAACUAAGAACAACACAUGCCACCAAGAAACCCCCGAAAUUAGACCCACUCAGGUUUUUAAGCAAAGAAAACAUUCAGGGAAAAAAAAAACUUGGGAGUACUCUGAUAACCCCCCUCAGUGAAAGGGUGUACUCGUAAGCACAAGAAGGGAUGAAGAGAGGAAGCUGUAAAUGUGGGAUAUGGGAAUAUUGUUAGUUGGGGUGUGGGUGUGGGGGGGAGGGGAGGUAUCUUUUUGGCAGUUAAUCUUGUAUUGGUCUUUGAGGAGAAUUGGGGGAUAUAGGGAAGCUCUUGAAUUUAUGCCUCCGUUGUUGAUAAUAGAUAAAUAAAAUUGAGACUAAGACCUAUUAUAAAGACCCAAAAGGAAGGUACUGAAAUAUGUUGAACUCCACAUCUCAAUCCCAAAGACCCUCCAAAGUCCAAACAGUAAGAAAAUACGGCCUAUCAAAGAAUUCCUCAUUUAUCACGAAAAGAAAAAUGCAAAAGCACCUUCUCCAACUGAAAAGUCUUAAUCAAACCCAUACCCACGCUUCCAGUUCCAGGGAGUGUCCAAGAUAGCUUUCUAACAUUUUGUUCGGCAAAUAAAAAAACCUUAGACCAACAUGGCAUUAUUGAUAAAAAUUUCAGACAGUAAACAGAGGCUCUCAUAAGGUCUAGCCUUUCGAGUCGACAAGUAGAGCUUUAAAUAAUGUAACAAACAUUUGCAGAAUUGUCAAUUAUGGUUUGAUAACACAGCUUCUAUGACAGUAGAAACGGAAAAUAAUAUUUGGUAUCAAAUAAAAGCUAAUAACAAAUGUACAAUGAGUCAGUGAGAAGACUGGUUUGAUGUCAACUGGGGUGGCCUAGUAAGUACCUGUAAGCGAGUCUUUAUAGUGUCCAAUGGUGUUGUAAUGCAGGAAGCUGUUGCACCUGCAAUUAUUCCACCCGCAGCUUGAACUGAAAUAAGUUGGGAAUGGCUGGGAGAAAAUUUCUCUGAAGCAGAGUUUUGACCUAAGAACCUUCAAUGCCACAAAACAAAUAUAACAAUUCCAACGUCAAAAAAGAGAAACCAAUUUAAACAGAAGAAACCACCGCAACCGCAUCAUGUAUUUGUGCAAAUAACAACUGUCCAGUUGGACCCUCUGAAAUUCCAUAUUAUAUCUUUUUGCCAGUAUAGCUAUGCUCGCACUCAUAUAUAAAGCUCAACAAAUCCCUACAUGGAUGCCCUUUACAGUGCCUAAACUCCCAGAAGGCGAAUUAUUCGAAACACAGUAAUCAAGAAGAGACUAGAACCAAGGUAUAUAGUAAAGGACAAAGUAAUUAACAAUAAAUAAUAUAGCAGUAUCUAUUUAGAAUGUACCUCGUUGACAUAAACAUUACUAUUUACCAUCAAGAGACUAAUAAUUUCUUUCAUUCAUUGUUUCUUGUCCAAACAAAAAAUAAAUAAAUAAAGUAAAAAAUAAAAGAAUUUCAUUCAGGACCAAAGAAAGUGAAGAUGAAAAUUCUAACCAUUACCAGUCCUUAUGCAAUGACCCAAACUCAACACUUCAACACAAUGAAGGGAAAUUACCACGUCUCACCUCCAGAUGACGCGUUGACUUGCACCAUAACUUGCCCACCAUACAGCACUAGAUGGAGAGUAGGUCAUAACAGAUAACCCAAAACCUUUAUACAGUCCCCGAAUCCCAUUAGACUUUAUCAGUUUACGAGCAACAUCUAAACCCCCAGUAUAUCUUGUAUUUCCGGAGUAUCCUUGAACCAUUAGCUUUUGACUAAUCUGAGUGACAUCAAAUAUUCAAGCUUUUAAGCGAUAAUAGAUCAACAAAAACAAUAUUUUAUCAAAAACUAAACCAGUCCUACAUACCACAUCAAUUGGAACGAAAACAGCUUGAGAAAAAAGUGAUGCAGUCAUGCCAGCUAACCCAUUUGCCAAAGCAGCCUGUGUAGGUUCAGAAAAUUUAAAUGGCUCAACCAGUUUAUAGGCUCCCACUUUGGUAGUCUCUAAAGCAGUAAGAAAGAUGAUCCUUGCAGGAAUUGCACCAGUGAUUACUGUGCCAAACCCUCUAUAAAGACCAGGAACCCCAUCAUUCUUCAGUAAGCCUUUGAUAACAGACAGGGCAUUUCUCUCGGCAGAAUCCUUUACAGCGACCUGCAUCCUUGUUUUCACAACAGAAACAGGGUACAGUGCAACAGUAAUCCCAGUGAAGAGGCCAGCUCCUACGCCAUAAAAUUUUGCUUUAUCAAGCCUGCAGGAACAGGAUUAAUAAAUAAAGUAUCAUACUAGAUAUUGCAACUUCUUAGUUUCAACAUGCUCAGAAACUAACUAGCACAAAUGCAGGUACAAGAUGCAGAGUUUGAUGUAUUUCGCACUCAAUAUUUAUUAUUGUUUUUAUACAUGUGUCCUCAUAGUAUACUUGUUCAAGUGUUUGAUGCAUGUCGAACAAAUGUUUGUCCUACUUUGACUGUGUACAGCUAGUGUCAAACACAUCUAAUGCAAUUUUGCACUAAAAAGUAUCUAAGACAUGUCCAACAAGUGUUUAAGUAACCAAGUGUCCAACACUGGAUAUGCUAGCCAAACUAAAGUGUCCAUGCUUCUUAGCUCAUAGUAACCUACUUAUUUCCAAAAAUUACAAUUAUGUGUGCCAAUGCAUAAACACAACAAAUAUCCAGCCAAUUUCAUGGAGCAUUUAGGUCAAAGAAAUAUGUAAAUUAUAAUGCGGUAAAUGUUGAGAAAAAGAAUGGCACAAACAUUGCAACUAGAAUAUUGCAAAUCUCAAGUUUCAAGAACAACAAGUCAGUGUAUUACUUUCAAAAGCAAACGAUUUAAAGUUUCAAAAGCAUGAGCACCAUCAGAGGCUAAAAAUAGCAUCUAGUAGACUAGCAAUGACUACCAAGAAUACGGCUGGAACCUACUAUUGGGUAAUUGUCAGAAAUAGCACACAAAGGAUGUUCACGAGGCCAAAUGAGUCUUUCUGAUGGAGGAGGGUCGAAACCUUGGAAUAACUAAAACCAAUUAGAUUACCCCAAUUUUCAUCAUAAUCUUUGAAGAGGAAGCUGCUGGGUGGGGGCUGUCUCCUACUCUCCUUUGUCUAAUGCUGAAGAAUUUGUUACAGUUUCGCUUACUCACUUGCAAGGGCAGCCAUUUUUUGGGUUUUCGAUCACCCUUCCCGCUCCACUUUGGAGGAAGAGAAUAGUGUCUUUCAGGCUUCCAACUACUGCAUUAAUGAAGUUUGUUUCAAGCAAACUAAAAUAACAUUUUUAAUCAUCCUCCAGAGAAAAAUGAAAUCAAUUUCAUAACUUCCCAUUGGUUUAGUGGAAACCACCAGGAAUUACUUGGAAAAUGUUGUGACCUAUGUUCUUAUGAAACAUUCAUCUAAUGACUACUAGGUCUAACUCUCCACCAAAAAAGUGUGAACACCGAAAAAGAAAACAAGGAAAAAAAAGAAAGCAUCACACUCACACUCAUUCAAGUUUUUCUGUUCUUUCCCACUCUUCGUCUUGGUCAUAAGAAGUUUUUGGCACCCAGAGGACCGAUUAAAAAAAUAGGCCAAAUAGAGAGUUAUUUGUAAAAGGUCAAAAAGAAUUUGUACUACUUCUAACAAUUUCCAACCUACUGGCAACAUUUCCACAAACCAAGGCAAAUCAUCAAACUACAAUGAGUAUGUUGAAGACAGAACCAUCCCAAAUUUCAACUUCCAAGUCCUAUUUUAAACCCCAGGUUGAUUCUUUAAGUAUGAGAAGACGUUUCAAAUUUAAUCCACUUGAUCACAUCUCAAGAUUUGAUUCCUCCAAACCCUGAUGAAGGAUCUUUCUCUUCUCUCUCCCACACAUACAUUAAAUUCCACACAGUUACAAACUUCCCUCUUUCCCUCGAUAUUUCUUAUCUUUAAUAUCAUCAAGAACCAAAAUAGAGCGCCUAAUAACUCCUCCAUCGACGCAUGCAUCAAAGUCAUUAAUAAGGAGAACAAACAAACAAAUCCAGAAUGGUCAAUUAAUACUAAAGCGAGUCAGCAAUCAUUAUCAUUCAACGCAAUAGCUGAGUCAAGUUACCAAAAUCAAAGAACAGAUAUGAUAUGCAAACACAAAACAUAAAUGAAAUGAAACGAAUCAAAGCAAAUGGAUAAUUUCCCAAAAAAGCAGAGGAGACGAAAGGGAAGGUUGAAAUUACUUGUCCCAGUUGAUCUCAGUUUGACCAAACGAUUGAAAUCGCGAACCAUUCGCAUUCAUGGCCUCCCUUAUGCGAAUCAACCAAACAAGAUGGGCAAAGAAAAUCAAGAACGCAUUGAUGAUUCCAAGAAGUCGGGAAACCAAUUAAUGUCGCCGAGAACGAUUGGAGUCGUUCCGACGAGGUAAAUCUCGAAGACCAACAAGAAGAAAAGCAAAAAAGGAUACGAAAAUGGACGUGGGUCGGCUAGUUCUUCAGAUAUCGACGAACAUUUCUUGGGUUUCUCUCAAAUUGAUUGCUUGGAGAGAAAACAAUGUUGUGGGAAAAGGGUGUUUUGGUUUUUCUUUCUCUUAACCGUAAAUUCUUCGCUGUUCUUCUUUGUUCGUCAAAGAGAGAGCGCCUGUCUCGCGUUGGCAGUGAAGAAAGGCGGCCUUUGAUAUAAAAAACGGCCUUUGGCUACAGAUGGCUACUCCCUAAUCACGCGGCGCCUUGUCUUUCUGUUCACCUUGGGUUCUUAAUUCGUCUCACAUAUAAUAUAUUCGUUAGUUCUUUCUUCUUCUACAAACAUAUAAGGGUGGAAAUUCUGAUUCCUAACCUAAGCACAUUUUGAAUAGCACAAAAGUAUAUGUCUAUUCAAAAAGAGAGAGGUUGAAAUUGAAACAUACCCAAACUCUUCUUCAGGUUUGCCUUGCCUAUACUAAGAUCCAAUGCAAAAUUGGGAGAGGGCAACGCAAAUGUGCCACCUAUAAUGAAACAAAAAAUAGUCUUACGUUGUAGAUUGACUACUCGAGCAAACAAAUAUAUCCAUUAGGGAAGAAUUGAGUUUUGCUCGAAGUGAUACCGUGUAGCCAUGAACAUCGUAUUAACGACUAUCAAAUAAGGUGUCAUUGACAAUGUUUCGAGUCGUAAUAGGAGAACACUGUAAAUAGUCUCAUUUGCAUUGAAAUGUGGUAGGCUCAACAACACACCGGUGGGAAAAUUGUUUAUGGAGGUCGACUUGAAAAAUGCAAGACCAAACAAGGAGAAGUCAAGCUCUAGCUCACACAACGAAGAAAAUAUACAAAAUUUUGGAGUUAUUGAUCAAAUGGUUUGUAUGCUCCAAAAUUUAUGGAAACCCAUAUUCCUUAAAGGAAUGAGAGAAUCUUGGAGAAGAAAAAUGUGACAAUGGUUGUUGAUUGUUGCACAAAGGUACAUAACGAAAAUAAAACUUUGAGGCAGUGUGCCCAACUUUAGUGUAAAUAUGACGAUGUGGUUUAUUUCUAUUGUUCAAAUUUUGAUCGUAUCACCCACCUCAAUUUACUCUCCUCAAUUAUUCUCCUAUGCAAGAAGGGCAUUGGAAGAGCAAUAUGCUUUCUCUUUUCUACUUUCUCCUUUUUUUUUCUCAAGAUGGUUUGUUUUGCUACCGUAGUUCCCUUCAUAUAACUUUUUAGGUUGUUGGGUUGCGUAGUUUGUUCACAUAUACAUACAAACACACAUAAAAUAAUGAGUCAAAUACAUGAAUGAAUAUAAUACGUUUGGUUGAAUUAGUAUAACCAAAACACAUCAAAUAAACCUCCCUAAAAAGUAUGAAUUCUAAAAUAUGAAAACAAAAUUAUAUUCUACACGAAUCCAAACUAGUGGAAGUCUUAACUAAAACGAGAGAGAAACAAAUAUAUAUAAAAAAAUCUGAAUAUUUUAUUGAUAGGAAGAAGUCACACACUUUCAAAAAAAAAAAAAGUUCAAAUUAACUGACACUUGUACGUAAUUAAGAACAAAAAAGAGUCAUACCUUAAGCAUUGAAAACUAAUACAACAUCAACAUAAUUCAAAUAACAUAAAAUAAAAUAGGAAUUAAAAGAAGUUUGGGAAGAAAAAAAAUGUGCCAACAAUGGUCAAUUCCAACCCAACUAAUAUUACCAAAUGAAACUUCCUAAUGUUCACACCUUCCAAAUAAUAUCUCAUUUAAUUUGUAAUGCCCAACAAACAAAUUAAAUACCCACCUAAUUAAACAUUUGAAUUUCUUCUUCUCUUAUUGAUAUAUGAAUUAAGAUGAAGAAACCCUGUUUUCAUAUCAACAAACUUCUAAGUAUUUCAUUAUUCCUCAUCUUCUCAUUACUUCUUGAAGCAGCAGUAGCUGCAGCAACCUGCUCCAAUGGACCUUGCAAGGUUUUUGCUUUCUUUUUUUCUCUCUCUUUAUUUGGAUUAAUAUUAUUGAUGAUUUCUUUUUCUCUAUUACUACUUUAUUAUAUACUUUUGUGUUUUGUAAUUAAGGUGGGGGAUCAAUGUUCUUCAAGUGAAGAUUGUGGAGAUGGACUGUACUGUUUUUCAUGUAUACCAACAUUCUUUGGUGGCUCCAAAUGUGUUAGAUCUACUUAUACCAAUCAAUUCAAACUUUUGGUAUAUAUAUUAUUUAUCCAAUUUUAAUUCCUCCAUUUUCUUUUCAUCAUUUUCUGUUUCUACUUUUGGAUUUUAUGCAUUGUUGCUCUUGGUAUCUAGCCUAAGAUCUAGGGAUGUUGGUAGGGUGAGUCGAGAUAAGGAGUCGAGAGAGAUUUAUUUGAUAAUUGUAGGUUUAUUUUUUCACAUUUUGAUAACUUUAUAUUUCUUUAUUUAUGCAGAAUAAUUCAUUGCCAUUCAAUAAGUAUGCAUAUCUAGCAACCCACAAUUCAUUUGCUAUUGAAGGAGAGCCCUCUCAAACAGGAGUUCCACGAGUUACUCUUAACAAUCAAGAGGACACAGUUUCUCAACAACUUAAUGUAACAUUAUAAUCAUUUCCUUUUAUAUUAUAACCCAAAAAAAUUUCUUAUGAUCAGUACUCUAUGUUUUUUAUGUUAAUUAAUAUUUCCUAAAUGAUAUCAAUAUUAAUGCAGAAUGGAGUUAGAGCUUUCAUGUUGGAUACCUAUGAUUUUCUUGGAGAUGUUUGGCUAUGCCAUUCCUUUGGAGGAAAAUGCUACAACUACACUGCAUUUGUACGUUUGAAACCUUCUACUUAAGAAUGAGUUCUUAAAUAAUGUUUGAAAAGUCAUUUUCAAACGGAGUUCUAAAUUAUUUACUUGAAUUUUUGUUCCUAUAGGAACCAGCACUAAACACACUGAAGGAAAUAGAGGGUUUUUUAGAAGCAAACACCGAAGAGAUUGUCACGUUGAUCUUAGAAGAUUAUGUUCAGUCUCCCAAUGGAUUGACCAAGGUAUUCACCAAUGCCGGGCUAAAGAAAUUUUGGUUUCCGAUCACGAACAUGCCAAAGAAUGGUGAGGAUUGGCCUCGAGUCUCUGACAUGGUUGCUAACAACCAAAGGUUGCUUGUUUUCACAUCAAAUAACACAAAGGAAGCAGCAGAGGGAAUAGCAUAUCAAUGGAAUUACAUGGUUGAAAAUCAGUGUAAGCUAAGCUAGAAUAUUAAGAGCUAGCUACUCCUUUUCAUUCCUUCUUUAGUAGUAAAAGAGUGAUUUUUCUUUUCUUUUUGACAGAUGGGAAUGAUGGAAUGAAAAAAGGGAGUUGUUCAAACAGGGGACAAUCAUCAAGACUUGAUGACAAGGGAAAAUCACUAAUCUUAAUGAACUAUUUUCCAACAGUUCCAUUAAAGAUAGAAGCAUGUGUGGACAAUUCUAAGAAUUUAUUGGGCAUGCUUCAAACUUGUCAUGGGGCAGCUGGUAACAGAUGGCCCAAUUUUGUGGCUGUUGAUUUCUACAAGGUUUGUGUUUUUGCUUCACAACUACAAAAAUGCCUCACAAAAUUCAUCAUACCCUAUUGAUUUAUCAUUUUGAUGUUAAGAAAACUCGCAAAAUAUUAAAAUCCAAGUAGAUAUCUCUAUGGACUGAAACAAUGAUCCCUUAACUUAGUCAUUCAUUAAUGUCAUGUCAUGUCUUCAUGUUUACCACUAGAUAACUUACGGAUGGACUCUAAAAAUUUGUUAUAUUUACAAUUUUUAUAGUAUUAUAUAUAUCAUUUUAUUUUAUUUAUGUUGGCAGAGAAGUGAUGGAGGAGGGGCAUUUCAAGCUUUGGAUACUUUGAAUGGGGAGCUCUUGUGUGCUUCACAGGACAUUCAUUCAUGUGUGGGGUAAAGGGUCUAUCAGCAAUAAUUAUUAUAUGUUUGUAGCUUUUCCAAUAUAUUUAAACAUAUAUAUAUAUAUAUAUAUUUGUUACAAAUACAUUUUUAAAAAUAUUUAAUUUUUACCAAAGGUCGUGUUUACCCUGAUUAAAAACGUAAUAUAUCAAUGGGAAUAAAGAAAAUGAGUCUCAUUUGAUUGAUGAAUUGAAGGUGCUCAAUUAGAUCAUUACCGUUUCUGACUAAUAUAUAAUGGUAAUAUUCAAAUUUUAAUAGGUAAAAUUACUAGCAAAUAUACAAAUGAACUUUGAAUUUAGGCUCUUUAUCCUUUUGAUAUUUUUAAUUAUUGCAAUUGAUGAUGAAUGUAUUUGUAAUUAGGCUCACUCUUCCAAUGUUGAAAGCAAAAGUAAAUUAAUAAAAAUUAGAAGAAGAAAAAUAAUCUCUUACUUCAUGUGAAUAAAAACUAAUGGGCUUGGACCAUGUGGGCCAAAGCCCACUAUCACCGAUACUUAUCAAACUAAUAUGGUUAUCAUUGGGCCUUUUGACUUCAUACACCAACACAUUUAAAAAGACAAGAAAAAGGGGGAGAGAGAUGGUGAUUUUUUGAAGAUUUUUUUCCCCUAAGCUCAUAUUCUUAAAAGUAUAAAACUAAACAGAAUCAAUCUUCAUUCCAUCUCAUUUUCUUCCAAUGAACUCUUCAUUAUAUUGUUAAUAAUAUUUUUGUGUUGUGCCUUUCUUUUCGAUAAAAGCUUUAAAAUGAAACAGCUAAAUUAAAUUAAAUAUAAAACAUGGAUUACGAAAGCUUUUAAGGGCAACAAUGAAGUAAACCAAGUGUAAACAAGAGUACAUGAAUCAAGAGAUCUUGACAACAUAAAAACAUAAAAUAAAAAAAAAAUGUAUGUAAAGAUAAAAGCAUGGAUAAUAUUACUAAUCCACAAAGAAAUAUGAAGAUCAUUAGAUAGAUGUUGAAUUAUAAUUUGAAUUUCUCCAUGGAAAGAGCCUCAUUCUUUCUUGAUCUAAUUCAUAAUUUUACACACUACUUUCCAACAAUAAUGAGUAAGAGGACAGAUUAUUGAUGUAAAUGUGAUUGAAUUAACACUAAAAUAAUAACUUUGUAUAAUUAACUAAUAAUAUUCGAGUUGGACACAAAUCUUACUUUAAUAUAUAUAUAUAUAUAUAUAAAAGAAAAGAAAAGAAAAGGCAAUAGUUAUAAUAUGGUUUGGUUUGUGUGUCAAAAGUAGGCUACACUUACGAAUGAAAUUUCAUUAUUUAAAAAUGAAAAUGAAAAAGUUAAAAAAAUAAAUAAAAAAUAAAAUAGAAAUAAUUAAAUGUUGAGUUGGCAAUGGCCACCAAAUUGUCUGAUCUCCAACCCCACGAAUCAAACAUUAAUAAGUUUUCUAUUUUAUAUAUAUAUAUAUAAAUCUUGAACAUAUGGUUGAAUUGAGAUGUAUAUCUUCUUUGAUUCCACCUAAUUUUUAACCCAACAUAAUGUUACCAUCCAAUGGUUUAGGAGAGCUAAUCAAUAGUGAUUGUUGCUGUCCAAACAUGUACAUUCACAUAUUACAUAAGUUGAACAACUAACAAGUAUUUAAGUACGUUGCUUCGUUAAAUUAAUUACGGUAAAAUGUGUAUUUUAAUGGAGGAAGAACAUUUACAAGUUAGCAAGAAUUGAACACCGAUAUGGAGUUAGGUUAAGAAGUUUGGAGAUUCACGGUAUAACAUAAUUGCUAGUGGAGAGAUUUCACUUAUCUUCUCGGUCUACUAAAUACUUCUUUUCUUAGAAUUCUUUUCCUUGGAUCUUUGGAUAUGCUAUAUUUCUUUCUAAACCAAUAUUUUGCAAAAUAUAUAGGUUUGAUUUAGUGGACUUCACCCUUUCUUAAGAUCGAUGACAAUUUAGCUCAAUUUGAUUUGAGUCAAGUUCGAUCAUCUUUUUGUGGCUCAUGGGUGCAUGUAUCUUGCAAAGGAUGCAUGAUAUAGUGAGUUCGACAACCUCAACCUUGACCAAAAUUGUAGUCGUCUUUCUUUAAUUAGGCCUAUUUCAUUUUCUUAGCAUAGUAACUUAUUCAUUUAUAUCAUCAUUUUCUUGGCUUGGUAGCUAUAUUUUCUUCAAUAAUUUGUUUUUGUCCUAAAACCUAAAAUUUAGGCACAGCGUUUCAUAAAUGAUUAUUCCUAUAAGUAAUAUAUCUUACAUUUUUACAAUAAAUUUUAAACUUUUCGAUCUUUCAUUAAAGAAAUAUAUUUUUGUUAAAAAUUUGAAACGAAACUUAAACCUAACAAUUAAAUGCCUAACAUUAAUUUUGAUAAAAUAAAAACUAAACCUAGAAUCUAGAAACAAAAAACAUAUAUCUAUUUUAUUUUAUCAAAUCAAGAGACCCUUGUAAAGCUCAAAAGCUAAAACACAUUUAUGCCAUUAAUAAUUUAGAAUGCUAUAUAUUAAAUUGGGGGAUGGUUUUCAAUUCAACAUUAUUUGUCUUUUAUUUCUUAUUAAUAGUUCCCCUAUUUGAGCUUUAUGAGUUGGUUAUGUUUGCUAAAAUAUAUAGAUUCAAAACUUUGGAAUAGUACAUUUUUUUAUUUUCCAUUGAAGAUCAUCAUCUUUGAUUGGCCAAGAUUAAUUUAAGAUCAAUCAUUGCUAAUGACAAGAUCAAACAGAUAGAUUAUUUAAAAAAAAAAAAAAAAAAAAACCAAUCUACUUAAUUUUAGGAGUUUAGAGAUCUAAUGAAAUUCUUGAAACCCUAAGAAAUAAAAUGGAAGACUAAUUUUGGAUGAAUUCUAAUUGAUUUUAUAUUUUGUACACAUAAAACCAUAAUUAGGGUCAUGGUGAUGUCACACCCAAGUGGAUAAUUAAUCAUUAAAUAAAAUAAUUUAAUACCCAAUUCCAAGAUGAUUAGAAACUCAAGAAGGUAUAAAAACAAACAUUCAGUCAAAAUAUGCAUUGGGUUUUCAACCCAUAGAUUUGAGAAAUUAAUUCUUUAGUAUAUCAAUAUAUACCCUAUAGUUUUUCCUUUUAUAAAAAGAAAUAUAUACAUUUUCCUCUCUCUAAAAUGCAUUUGAAUUAAAAACUACAUAUUAAAUUUAAUAUAAACAUUGGCACAUCCAAAGUGAUCUGAUUAGUGAGAAGCACAUGUGAGAGUAGGUAGGUUUAGAGGUAUCUAACACAUGCUACCAAUCUUAAGAACAAUAAUAUUAAACAAGAAAGAAAUAAUUACACUAACACAUAUUAUAUAUUAAAAUACCAUGUUAAUUUUAAUUCCUAUAAGGUUGUUCGUAUGAAGAUAAUAAUGUUGCAAAAUGCAAAUUUUAAAAUUUAUUAAAAGUACGAAGAUUAAAGUCGUUCAAAGUAGAGUGAUCACCAUAAAUGAGUGUUUAAUCUAAAGUAGUUUAUAAUUGUUAAGAUCUUCAAUAUCACUAAGAACCUACUAAUAAUAUAUAUAUUUUCAAUAGUAACAUGCUUUCAAAGAUAAUGUUGAGGCUGAAGGAGUUUGAAUGGGCUCCAUGUUAUUGGGUGCACCACACAUUGUAAUGUGCUUAAUUAGAUAAUCUUAAUAUAUACUUUAAAAGAUUAUAUUAAAAAGAAAAACGAGAGAGAGAGAGAGGUUAUUAUUUUAUGGUUGACUUAAAUUGGGGUGUGACUUUGUCUUCUUUGAAGUUAACAAAGAUAACAAAGAUUGCUUAAUUAAAGAAUCAUAUGUAUUAUUCACCAAUGAGCUAACCACAAAAGCAUCUAUAUUAUUCUUUUUUUUUUUUGCAAUGAUUUUGUUUUCUUAUUUAUUCACAAUUUUUCCUUUUUAAAAAAAAUAUAUAUAUAUUCAUUGUGUACUUUUUCUUAAUUGAAAUUAUUAGUAUAUUUGUUUUAUUGAUUUUGAGAAGAAAAAAUUAAUUUUAAACUAAGAAUGAGAAAUAAAUUUUAAGUAGGGGUAGAAAGAUUGUGAAUUCAAUUUGGAUGUACUUUCCUUUAUAGAAUAUAAGAUGCAAAGUAUAUGAACUCUACCUAACAAUAAGAAAUGGCCUUUACCUCAUAAUUAAGACAUCUUUUUGGGUAACUAUUUGUUUUUUUUUUUUUUUAAUUAAGAAUUUAAACAAAAUUUUAUGUGUUUCUUUUACUUUGAUAUAUAUUCUCUUUUAUUGAUGUUUUUCUAAAUCCACGUCAAUAUUUCAUACAUAAAGAGUAAAGAAAUUGUUUGAAAACAAACACACCAACUUUCAUAAAAAUAUUUUUUAUUAAAGGCAUACGUUAUUGUUGUUGUUGUAAUUUUGAUUUUAAGAAUCAAAUAUAAACACAUCAAUUUUUUAAAAUGGUGUGAUCAAUAGAUUCUGGAACCAAAGUCAAAGUGGUCAACAAAUAACAAAUAAAGAAAAGAAGAAUGAUGUCGAGAGGAGAAUGGUUAGCAAGGGUCGAGGCCGAGGCCGAAUCCAUCAAGAGAAGAAUCCCCUGAGAAGUCGAACAUAGUUAAUUAUCAUUAAAGAAAAACCCUAAAGUCGUUGGUAUGGUUGUUCGGCUGGUCGACCUUGGCCAAGGGAGAAUCCAUGAAAAAAGUGGCUCGGUUUAUAAACCCUAAUCAGAUAAGAAAUAUCUGGUAGAUGGUUGAAACCUAGGUUUCUAACUUUUUGGCUUACGCCAAAGUAAGUUCUUCAAUCAGCAUCAGAUACUCUCUUCUCUUUCUAACUUUUUGGCUCAAGGAUUAAAUUGGUUGCGACUAACACCACACAUGUCUAGGUUUCUCUAUGCUCAAGCGAACUCUCUACUUCAAACAUACAUAUUUACAAAUCUUUUUUGCUUUGUCAAAAUUUGACAUCAACACAAAACUUGCUAAUUCUCUUUCAUCUAUCAAACAUGAUUAUAUAAUUCAACUAACAUAAUAGAUAUAUAAAAGUUAGAGGUUGAAAUCUUCCUUUGAUGUUGCAUAUAUUGAAUGUUGAACAAAACUAAAAAAAUUUACUUCAAAAAAACCUCUAAUGGUUAAAACUAAGGAAAAAAAAUAAUUCUUAUAAGUUAACUACAUUUGUAAAUAAUUGCUCUUUUCAAAGGGAAGAUGUUACUUAACAAAACUUUUUUUUUUACUUACUUUUUAAUACACUAUUAAUUAAAUCAACCCAAUAACCCUAAACAAGACAUGCAAACAAAUUAAAAUAUCAAUUAUCAAGCACAGGACCUAUAUAGAUGUAUUUUUCUUGAAACUUUUUUUUUUACUGUAUUUCAAAAUUGAAUAAUUAAGAUUUCAAAAACGUAUAAAAAGAAAAUAAAAGGUAAAAUAAAAAAAAUUAAAAAAAUGUAUCAAUAUAUAACAACCCUAAUCAUUAAAGAACACAAUACCACACUCAACAUUAAUAUUCUUUUUAGAAUAAUGUUUGUCAAAUUUGAAACCCACAGAUUUUCAUAAACCAAGAGCUCCCACUUUUAUAUAUAUAUAUAUAUAUAUAUAUAUAUAUAUAUAAUUUAUUUGUUUAUGGUAGAAGGACCUCCUCACUCUUAGUUUGUGUUUAAAUUUAUUUGAGAUAUUCCCAUGCAUGCAUGAUUAUAUAUAAUAUAUAUAUGUGUAUGUAUGUAUGGAUAAUUGAGGACCAUAAAGCAAAAUUCCAGCAUACAUUUACAACCCCAUGUAAAAAAGAUAAAUUAUAUAAUAUAUAUCAAAAACUAUAAUUUAGUUUAGUUUUAUUUUUAUAAAAUAAAAAGAAGUCAACCCCUUCUUCAUUUUGAUUCACAAAAGCAUACAUAAAAAGGAAGAUAUUCAAGUAUAAACUAAGGUUGAUUGGAGGAAGCAAGAUUCUCUAAUAUCCAUAUUAAUUUCUUCAAUUUUUUAAUUUAAGAAAAAAAGAUAAAAUAUUUUUUUCUCAAACAAUAAUUUUCACACGAUUUUGACCCUAACAAUCAUGUUUGGCAUUACUCUUUUUCAUACGUUAUAUCAUCUAACUCUUAAAAACGACACCUUAGACAACAUCUCAAUGGAAAGAAAAUUAUAUAUUAAAAAAAAAAAUUGAUAUCCUGCAUUAUAUAACCCCUGGAUUUUUAGAUGUGAAAAGUAUUAUUGAAUAUAUUUCACACAACAAAAAGAGUUAAUAUUCUACAUCUUUCCGUGAUAUCAAUUGUUGUAAGAUCAGACGAGUUGUCUUACGAAGAAGAGAAUAACGAACAAAGCUAGAUGUCUAAAGAACUUGUUUUGAACGUGUUUUUACGUAAAGGUAUGGAACAUGCAAAGAAAAUUGUAGCAGACUCGUUGAAUAAUUUGUUAAAGGGUUUUGGAAUGAAUGAGAUUGAGAAAAGAGUGCAUGGCUUGAUGAAAGAGGAUAUAUACAAAAGAGAAAAAGGGGAUAUAUAUUGGGGUGCUAUCAAAAUCGUAAGGAGUCGGAGUUAGGGUACACCCACGAGGGAAGUAACAUGCAGAUGGGGAAAGAAAGCAUGAUUUUGCAUUUGUUGUUUGUAUGAGAAAAAGAAUAAGGGAGAGAGAGCCCCACAAAAAUUAAAUUUGAUUUUUUUGUUCUCUUUUUUUUCUUCCUUUUAAUUAAAAAAGGCAAAAUUUUGAUCCUCAUUGAGAGCAAGCAAACACCAGAUCAUCACAUGGGUUUUGGUACUCUCUUUACAACAAUAUAUAUUUAUAUUUAUAUAUGUGUGUGUGUGUGUGUGUGAGGGUUAUACCUAAUGUUGGUUUUUUGAGAAAAAGAAAAAGAAAAAGAAAAUCCAAAGAAAACUAUGGGAAUAUAGAGAGAAAGCAAACAACAGCAAAGACAACCACUUGGGUUGGAGGCAUCAACACAAAUAUGAAAAUGGGGGACCUUUCACACAUGGGGGUGGGAGGCUGCUUCACUUCUUUGUGGAGCCAAAAACCCCCCUUUCAAAACUUUUUUCUCCUUUCAGAGAAUCUUUUUCUUUUUCUUUUAUUUAUUUCUUUCUUUUAAUUUGUAUAAAAGAAAAAUAAAAGUUCAUGGUAAAUGGAAGCACGUAUUGUCGAGAGAAACGAUUUCAACGAUUUAAGUAACUUUGCUCAUUAUAUUAUACAGUUACAUCAUGAGAGUGACACGAAUACCAUAUUAAUGAAAAUUGCAGAGAAUGAGUAGUGGAAAGAAUGGAAAACUAUAUACUGCUCCUGAUCUCCAAAACUUGAGGUUGCAAGAGAGUGUGUACAUACAUCUUUUGAUAGCAAAGAACAUGAGAGAAUAAGAUAACAAUCAAAUCACUACCAAAAUCUUAGUUUCUUUGAUGAAUAUAAAGGUCUCAGAAAUAUCUACAGAAAUAUUGUUUAGUAAACCACUUACUAAUUGUCUGAUUCAACCCAGAGAUUUGCAAGUUAAGAUUUGUGGAAAUGUUUUCCCCCAAGAGAGUUCUCUGUUGGUUUAAGCAUUUUGGUUCGAUUCAAGUACAUGACAUUUAUACAACUUUCUAAAGUUAUAUACUUAUGUCUAUAUGUAUGCGUACAAGGUUUGUGGGCUAGAAGUUAGUUGUGUAUAAAUGAACGGAGGACGAAACAUAUCCAUUGGAUUUAGAUCUCAGGAUUGUGUGAAAGUUUCACAUUAUUUAUAAUACUACAUUUUAUAGAACAUAUAAUAUAUGUAUAUGCGUUGAGACACAAUGAAGUCCCACUUCUUUAUCUUCACUUUGAUAUGAUAUUUAUUCUCAUCAUUCGCUAAAUCCUCGUAAAUUUAUUUUUGUGUCAGGAUCUAAUAAUACUCAUACCAACAAAGGACUUUGUCUUUACUCGAUAUUUUAUCGUACUUUUAUCAUAUGUAACAUUCUCCCACCCAAAAGAAUAUUUCAAAUCUUGUCUUCCCCAUCUCUCUCUCUCUUUUUCCAUGCCAUAAUCUCUAUGUCUAUCUUCGUACAAUUUUAACAUUUUGUUUUCAAACUAAAAUGUUCUUUAAGCUUUUCUAUAUAUUUUUUUUUCGUACUUUGUUUUAAUUACAAUGGUGGUUGCAAUCUAAUAAACCACCAUAACCUUCCAAAGAUGGAAAUUAAAUUUAUGACGUGGAAUUUAACAAACGAAUCGCAAGUAGACACAUCAUCAUCUUUAGUCCCAUAUGUGUGGUGACUAUUUCAUUUGAUUUUUGUUGUUGUUUUGCUAGAAGGAUAUAAUUAGCUCUUUGAAAUUAUUGCUACUAAAGAGGGAGAUGUUGAAGAGUUGAUGAAUAAAAAACAAAUUAUUUGAAGCAUUAAUAAAUACAUAUUAUAUUUUGCAUUAGGUGACUACUAAACAAAUUAAGUCAUCAUUUUCAUGUUGAAAACUAAGCCCUAAUAAUGAACCUAUCCCACUUCAAUUAUGCAUGGGAAGUAUAUAUUUUUGUCCAAAAAAAAAAAGUAUCAAAUUUGAAAAUAUUUAUUUCACUAUAUAUACAUGUAUUUAUAACUGUAUUUUUCGUUUAUAAAAAACGUCAGUAAUAAUAAACUUAAAAUUUCAAUUAAGUCGAUAAAUUACUUACUUCAUUAAAGUUCGACAUGAUAUUUAAAAUACAUUCCAUUAGAUGAAAUAUUAUUGUUAUGUGUCAUUUAUAACUCUAUAUAUACGAAAUAAUAAGAAAUGCACUUGAACAAGGUAUCAUAAUAAGAAAAUAUUUUAAUUAUAGCAAAAUGAACAAAAAAAAAUAAAAAUAUUUACAAAAUAUAACAAAAUAUCAUCGUCUAUCUUUAAUAAACCAACUAUCUAUAUCUAUAUGAUUUACACAAAAUUUAAGUAGUCUAUUUUAAUCUAUCGUGAUCUAUCACAAAAAUAACUAAAGAAAAAGGUUCCUUGGAUAAAUCACUUUUAAAUUUUAGCAGUUUUGAUUGUUAUAUAUUCAAAUCUUUUGAUUGUAAAAAUUGAGCUCUCAAAUUCAUACAAAUGUUAAAAUUAGAUACUCAAUCUUACAUGAUUAUAAAAUUAUACCAAUUGUAUAAAAUUGUAUUUGAAUUGACUUUCCAAGUGUUUAAAUAAGUAUUCAAAAAAAAGUUCAAACUAAUCAUAAACAAAUUGAUAUUAGUGGAUGAAUUUUAUAAUUUGGUUGUCAUUACGAGAUAUAUUUUUUAAAAUAUCAAAAUGAUCUAACUUAUUUAUAAAUAGGGAAGUUUACAAAAACAACAAAAAUCAAUUGUGACAAUAGAGUUCAUAUCACUUACAUUUUUAAAUUAUAAAAAUAGCAAAUUUAAAAGUAAAUUAUCAUCUGAUCAUCGUCAUAUUUGUUAAAUUUACAAUAUAAAGAAAUAUAGGUGUUAUGAGCUGAAAUUUUUUUGUGUGUGUAUGAAAAGAAAAUGGAAAUGGAAGAGAAGAGAGGAUGGAACUUGGAAGGACAAACACACGUGACCUUCAUCUGCCACACUGCCAUUCACAAACAGAGACUAUUUCCCUUAAAAACCAUUUAUAUAAUAUAUAUAUAUAUACACAGAGAAAAUAUGAUUUUCAACCAAAAGUACAUUUGAUAUUUGAAAGUUUCGAAAAUUAUCUUUUUUUAAGAGAAAAUUUACCUUUUCCAUCUUUGAAUUUAAUUUCUUCCAUCCAUAAAUACGUUUGUCAAAAUCAAUAACACUAAAGAUGGGAGUUAAAUUACAAUUAGUUUAAUAUGAGAUUUACGUCUAUUUGGAUGAUGACCUUUAAAAAAAUUUUAAAUAGUCUUUAAACUUUCAAUCUUUGUGUAUUAAUACAAUCUUUCGACGUUAAAAGUAUCUAAAAGUACAUAAAUUUUCAAUUUUAAAUCUAAUACAUCGACAACAUUCAAUUUUAAAAGAAAAUUUUUCAUAAAUAUAACAGCAACACCAAAUAUUUAUUGUCCGUAUAACAAAAUAAAAAAACUCAUAAAUGCACUAGUAAUUUUUUUUUAAAUAAUUCAGGUUUGUCCUUCCUUUCAAUAUUUUUUCUUUUAUUCUUUUUAAGCUGUUAUUUAGUUGAAUAUCGCGUGUCAAAUAUAAAAAGAUCUAUUUUUCUUUUUAUUUUUUUAAAAUUAUUACUUAGCUGUUCAAUAUCAUGUACAAAUAUAAAAUAUCUUUAAAAAACUCGUUGAUAUAUUGGUAUACGAUCAUUCGUGUAAAAAAAACACAUGCGAGUGCCAAAUUAGAUGUUUGUUGACAAAUACAUUUGUUAUAUUUUUCACCGUGAGCUAGAAGUUCUUUUUCAUUAUCAAAAUUGUUAUAUUGUUAUAUUUUUAAAAAUACCCCUUACAAAAUUUAGCCUAUCGACUAUAUAUAUAUAUAUAAUUUUAGUUUAUGUUUUAUUGACUCUAAAUUAGUUUUAAUUUCAUGCAUAGUGACUCCUAUAUUUUAUUUUAUUAUAUAUAUAUAUAUAUAUAUCAAAUUUCUUAGUUUGAAAUUAAUAAAAUUAGUUAGGUUGACUCAAAACAACACAAAUUAUCAUAGUGUCUUAUUAAAGUUGAAUUUAAUAAAAUACCUUAUUUCACCACACACUUGUUGCUUUGCUACAUUCUUAAUCCUAAACAAGUCUCAUCUCAUAAAUGCUUUGCCUUUGUGCAUGGUUACCUAAAUGAGGAUGUUUUUAUGUCACACCCUCUUCAAUUUAAUAACACUUGUCCCCAUUUUUAUGUUUCAUUAUUCAAUUUUAUAACAUGUCAAUCAGCUUCUUUCACUUUGGUUUAGCUCAUUUUUUCCCUAUCAUUUACUAACCUUCAAUUUCAUUCACAUCCAUGUUAAAUAAUUAUUCAAUGUCAAACAAUUCUUCCAUUUUACAAAUUUCAAUUGUGUUCACUAUUCAUUUUUACACACUUAUCGAAAAAUUAAACCCAUUUAUAACAAUGCAUGCAUCCAAAUCUAAAUUUACUAACUUAAUCAGAUGGUUGUUUCAUCCUAUUAAAUUAAAGGGGUGUAUUUAUUUAUGUAGUUGAAUUAUUAUGAUAAAUAAAUGUAAAGUUGGAAUCUAUCUGGCGUUAGAUGUUCAUUUGGUAAUUACAUUAUAAGCCAACUAGGAAUGUCUAUGUUUACCAAUCUAAUAAUAUUCAAUUUUAUAAUUCUAGGGAAAAUUUUGGUAAUUUGAUUUUAGGUUUGGCUUUAUUUGGUAUCUUAGGGUUUCAUAAGGUUAUACUUUUAGGCUUUGUGGGAAACAAAUUUUGUUUUUCUAUUUUUAGUUAUUAAACUUAUAUAUUGGAUUUAAUUUAAUCUUCAAAUUUUUUUAAAAAAACUUCACUUUUGUCCUUCAAAUUUAAAUCUGUGAACAUUUAAAUUACUUUUUAACUUUACCCUAACUUUCACUUUAUUGAUUUCUAUUAAUUAAAUAAUAUCCAUAAUUAUUUUGAAUUAAUAGAUAUUGUAGCGCUAGUUACCUACUUUUUUACAUUUCUUGCAACUUAGCUACGUCGUUCUUAUUUGUCUUGAAUAGGGAUGGACAAUGAUAGUCGAAAAACUAAACUGAACGACUAAAAAUCAAAUGUUAGAAUUGGAUCGGACCGUCCUAAACCAAUAGAAUAUUAAAGAAAUAGAAAAAAAGAGUUGAAUUAAACCGACCACCUUAAACUAAACUCGAUCGACCUAUACGUGUUUAACAUUGAUUUUUGAAUUUUCUAUCUCGAUAAGGUUGGUUUUGAUGCUCGUUUUUUAGUGGAACUUGAAGUAGAAAAGUUGUUUCCAUAGGAAAUAAGGGUGAAUUCGUCUAUUUAUAUAUAUAAAACAAUAGUAAAAAAGAAAGGGUAAGAAAGUAACUAUAAAGAAAAAGUGUAAAAAGGAGAGAGAGAUAGAGAGAGAGAAUGAAUGAAUGAAUGAAUAAGACAUGCGCACGUGGAGAGAGGAGGCACACGUGCACAAUGAUGAGUCAUUGAUACAAAGUGUGAUAAGAUGAUAAGGACUUCUCUUUCUAUUUCCCAAUAAAACAACAAACCCUCUUUUCUCACACCUUUUCCUUUUUACCCUUCUUCUCUUCUCCUCUUUUCUAUUUAUUCAUUUCAUUAAUGGGUCCUCCAAUAUCACAAUCUUUAAUUCUUCUAUCUUUCAAUUCUCUCCAACUUCAUCAAUCAUCCAAUUAUAUAUCAUUAAUUUAUUUUCACACUUAUCCUUUUAGCCAAAAGGUUCAUCCAUAAGGGAAAAAAUAUCAAGAGUUAGAUUCGUAAAAAAAAACAUCCAAGAAAGAUGAAGUAUGUUAUUAUAAGUUCAUAAUCAUUCUUCAAUCCAUUUUAAUUUUAUGUGGAAUAAGUUUGUCAAUUUUAGGAAACUUAAAUAAUUUGUUAGAUCAAAAUUGGACCUAUCAAAUACUUUUCAAUUUCAUAAACUUAUUAUAGCAAAUAGUUGGGAGCACCUCUAUUUCUAUUUCCCAAUAAACUACAAACCCUCUUUAUCUGAUGCCUUUUUCUUUUUACCCUUCAUUUUCUUUUAUUUAUUUAAUAAAAAUUUAAAAAACAUUAAUUAAUUAUGGGUCCCUAUAAUACCACACUCAUAUUUCUCUCUCCCCAAUUUUUUUUUACUUUUCAAAUAUUUUAAACUUGUUGUAAUUUGGAAAAAAAAAGAUUGAUUGUUUGACAUAAAGAUAUGUAGAAUUGAUAUACUUAAAAUGUAAACUAUUUUAGUUUGAAGAUAAAGUUAAAAAUUGUAGUCAAUAGUAAAAAUAUAUUAUAUAUUUAAAUUACAUAAACACAAAAUUAGAAAUUUUGAAGAUGAAGUUAUAAAAUACUUUUACACUUCAUGAACUUAUAAAAAGCAAACUUAGAAGGAUUUUGAAACUAAAUAAAUCAAUAAUAAUAAUAAAUACACAGUUGGUGCUUUAAUCAAUGAAUAUGUUCAAAUUGACAAACUAUAUGAGUUAUUAUUUUCUUAGGAUCAAAAGUUUAAUUUCUAUUAAAAUAAAUAAUUUAUAAAUUUAUAAAUAAAUGCUUUAAUCAAUUAAAUGCUUUAUUUCUUAACCUAAGCUAUAGAUUUUAGAGUUAAACAUAUAAUUGUAGUUAUAGUAAAAUAUUAUUAGGAUUGCAAAAGUGAUUAAAGUGGUGUAUUAUUGGUCUAAUGGAUCUAAGUUUAGGUAUCAUAUCAUAUGAUUGAAUUAAUAUUUGAAAUUCACGGAUAUCAAGGAAUAAAUAUAAUGCUAAUUAUAUAGUCUUCAUUUUUUUUCUAAAUCUUGACUUUACUUUUGUCCUUUUUAAUUAUACUUUUAUUAGUGACUUUAAGCCUUAGAUUUUAUUCUAUAAACAAAUUUAAAACCAUUCACUAUUCUCACUCUUAACCUUUUCAACAGCUCGUUUUACGGCUUAAUUUGACAAAGUAAUUGAAAGUGGGUUUGAAUUGUUUUAUAAAGUAUUUAAAUUUGGAUGAAAAAUCAUUUUUAAAAAAAUAUUGAGCUUUUAAUAACUUAAAAAAUGAGACUAAAACAUAAUAUUUUUUAAAGAAAACACUCGAAACCAAAUUUUGAAAAAAUAGGUUUUUGUACGAAAUUAUGUAUAUACACACUUAUAAAAAGAAAUAUGUAAAUGUUUAGAUUUUAAACUCCAUUUAAAUAAAGUGUUUAAAAUAAAAUAUAUUUUUCUCUAUAGAUAAUCCAAAUGCAAUCAAGUUUUUAAAAUUAAACUCUAUUACUCAAACUUAUUAUUCUUGCACAUAAAUAGUAGAAAACAAAUAUCGUAAAAUGUCAAAAUAGCACGGAUAGAUUUUAUUACACAUGAUAUAUUUAGGUUCAAUUGUGAUAACAACGAAGAUACACUAUCUAAUUUCGCUUAACUCGGAAUUGUUCUUGAUUUUGCGUUUUUAUUUGACUAUUUUGUAGGUUAUGAAUAAAUCAAGAAUGGAGUAGACGGUUGAUGACAAACUGGAGCUAAAAUAUGUGAAAAUUAAAUUAAGUCCAAAUGCAUCAAUCGAAAUCAAGAGAGCAAGAAGAAGUCUAUUUUUGGCCUCUAACUUGCAUAAAACAUUGUGAAGUAGAAACCUUUCAAUACUGAUAUAUAUUUGAUACACUAAAAAGUAUCAUAUCAACAAAGUAAAACAAGCGUGUCACACACUUCAAAUAUUUUAUUCUGAAUUUGUAAGAAACAACUUUCCCAUUUUUCUAUAUUUUAAAUAUCAUCUUUUUAAACUUUUUAACUCGUGAUAGCUAUUGUAAUAUUUAUCAACGAUUUAAUUUCUACUAAUUUACUGGCAUUAAUUCUAUAAAUAAUAAUAUAGAUUUCAUUAAUUUAAUAAGAAGAGAAAUUGCAUUAAGUAACCAAAGGUUAUAUAUCGUAAAAACUAAGACACACGUUAAUGUUUAAGAUAAUUGGAUAGAAUUUAAUGUGAAAUUUAACCAAAACAAAGCCUCAAAAUUGAACUCGUGAAAUUGUGAAAACUCAAACAAAACAUACACCAAAUCAAAUAUUCUUAUGGUUUAAUUAUAAUUUAGAUAUUAAAAAUCGAAGAAAAUCCUUUUUUACUCACAAAACUGCUUUAAAAUAUUUACCAAUAUUAGGAAGUUUUAGAAUUUAUCAGUUCAUCAUCUGAAAUCUUAGUAUAUUUUAUAAUUAUAAUUAUCAUCCACUUGCUAUAUUUGAAGAAAAAAAAAAACUAUUUAUUCAAUCAAAGUUCAACUUAGUCUAUUUGAUCAAAUAUAUGUAUUUUAUCAUAAAAAUUGAGAGUAUAUAAAGUAAGUUGUUACAAACUAAUUAAAUUUAUCUUAUUAUUUGAAUAAUAAAAUAAAAAUAUUUUUUAGAUAAAUUAGUGAAUUAACAUAAAAAUUCACAGCGAUCGAAACUCUUAUAUAUAUAUAUAUAUAUAUAUAUAUAUAUAUAUAUGAGUGUAACUUAAACUAGUUUGAAAAAGAAAAAGAAGAAAGAUUUAUUAUUGUAAUAUUAGAUGAAAUAAAAUUAAAGAUGGAGAAGUUGAUAGUAAAAUGAGAAUAGAAACAAAAAGAAUAAGACAAGAAAUAGUAGAAUUACUAUUGAGAAGUACUGUUAUGGAUAGAAGGGAGCUAUAGCAAAAAUAGAAACACUUGAAUUUUAACCACUUGUUUUUGUGACAAAAUGUUGGAUAAUACCAAAUAAUAAUUAUUGAAUAAAUAAUGAAGUUUUGCAAUCAAUUUAUUUUAUUGUUAGAUGAAGCCAACGAGAAUGGUCUCCAUGCCAUCCUACAAAAAUAUAAACUUUAAAACUAAGUUACGUUUAUUUAUAACAAUAAUCAUAGUUAAUAAUAAUUUGAAUAUGAAUUAUAGUUAUAAUAUGGUAAAAGUUGAGACUCAAAGAUUGGUAGCAUAAGAAGAGGUUGGAAGUAAAAGGUUCCCAAAAUGAAGAGAAAUAUGAAACUCUUACAAAAGAAUCUUUUUAGCUUGAAUACGAAAUUGACCAAACAUAGCAUCGGAAGAAUACAUGUUAAGAAAAUUAAAAAAAGAAAAAAAAGAAAAGAAAAGUAGAAGGAUAGAGUUGGAAUUGGAAAAGUGAUAGAGGAAACCAAAUAUACGUAGUAGAGUUAGUAGUGAAUAGAAAGUAAAAGUGAAAGCAAAAAUGGGAAAAGGGUAAAAAUGAAUAAUAAUGGAAAAGAGAGAGCGUGGGGUAUGAAAAAAGAGGGGAAAUUGACAAAAAUAGGCCAAAAAUGGGGUAUAAAUAGAGUUUUAGGAUUGAUUGUAGAAAAGUUGAGAUUUAGGAUAAAUUGGAGGUGAAAUGACGAAAAUACCCUCUUUUAAUUUUAAUUCACAUUUGCUCUUCUCUUCUUUUCACAACCCCUUCUCCUCUCUUCCUCUUCUCUAAUGUCAUUCACCUGAAGAAAAAAAACAGAAUUGCGAACGCAGCCUUCUUCUCCUCUCCUCAUAGAUUACGUAAAGGGAAAAAAAAAGAAGAAUCCUUCUCUUGCAGUCUCAUAGAUUACGUAAAGAAAAAAGAAGCAUUUCUCCUCCUUCUCAUAGAUUAUGUAAAGGAAAAAGAAAAAAGAAAAACUCAUUUGCGAUUCUUCUCCUCUCUCAAAAGUUUGUCAACUUUCCGCUUUACUCCGGUGUCGUUCAUCAUCUACUCCGGCGAACAUCUCACGCAUUGUGGUUUGUUUUAAUUUUUAAAUCCGAAUCUGAAUUGUGUUGUGUUAUAUGUAUAUAUAUUUUUGCAUCUUAAAUGUAUAAAUCAAAUAUUAUUUUUUAUUGUUUCAAGUUGAUUUAGGGUUGAUUUAAGGUUGCUUUAUAGAUGUUUCAAAUGAUGUUAGCAAUUUAUCAUUAUUAUUAUUUUAUCUCGCAAACAUCUGGUAGACAUCUCGCAAACAUCUCGCAGACAUCUUGCAGGUUCUUAAAUUGAAAUGUUUAAUCUGAAAUGAAUUGAUUUAGGGUGACUUUUAGCUAUUGUUUUUUGUAUCUCGCAAUAUCCUAAACAUUUUGUAGCUGUCAAGAUCGUAAACAUGUAGGGUGUGACUAUGCACGUUUUAUUUAGUAUUUACCUACUGUUUUUUAAUAAACUUUGUUUAUGUGAUAUGUCAAAUGCUAACUUCAAAUCAUUUUUUGCAGCAAUUGAAAAGUAUAAGGUGGUUUAAGGAUGUCACAUAUUCCCAUGUUAGUGCGUUACGGUGGUAUGUGGGAUGAGAGGCGAAGAAAAUACGAAGGAGGCAUGUUAAAAGGCAUCGUUGUCAGUAAAGAAAUAACACAUAAAGAUUUACAGGCAGAAUUAUAUGACCUUGCAGAAGUUGACCCUUCAAAGUUCGACGUAAUGAUAAGAUGCAUAUAUGAGAUAAAAGUGGAACACGAAGCUCCUACAUUUGAGUUAAGCAAUGACCGUGAUUUGAAGUUUUAUCUUCUUAGUGAAAAUCCAUUAAAGGUCCCUUUAUACGUCUCAUUUGAGCCUAAAAGUAAUCAAAGCAAAAAAGUGUUAAGCAAAGAUUACAAUUCAGUAUCUGGCAGCAACCAAGCUCAUAACUUAAACCCUCAUCCUCCAAUUGUAAUGGAUACAUUAAAUGAGAAUGAAGUCCAUGUUCGUGAAGUUGAAGUUGGCUUGUGUGAUAACGUGAUAGGGACCACUUCGGCUAUAUGGGAAUCAUAUGAGUCAUAUGAUUCGAAAGAUGAGACUUUUACAUGGGAGCCAGUAGAGAUGAAUAGUGAAUCAUUUGACAUCCCACAACAUAGAGAUGGUCCUACAAAAGAUUGCAAAGGAAAAUCUAAAGUUCGUUACAGCUCUUCUAGCCAAAAGUUGAAGACAGACAUGAAUGAUUGGUCCGAAGAAAGCUCUACAAGUGAGGAGUUUGAUGUAGGACAAAUAUUUUUUUCCAAAAAAGAUUUGUCAAUGAGAUUAAGUGUCUUGGCAAUGAAAAAAAAUUUUCAGUUUGUAGUAAAAAAGUCUACAAAAGAGGUUCUCUUUGUUAGAUGCAUUGACAACAAGUGUGGUUGGAGACUGCGAGCGAUGAGAUUGAAGGAUUCAAAUAUAUUUAAGAUUAAAAAGUAUGUCAAAGUUCAUUCGUGUUCUCUUGACGUUUUGAAUCGUGACCAUAGGCAAGCAAAAUCUUGGGUUGUUGGAGAAUUAAUAAAGUCAAAGUUCAAGGGAGUCGGUCGUCUAUACAAACCGCGUGAUAUCAUAGAAGACAUGAGGCAAGACUAUGGCAUAAAUAUGAGUUAUGAAAAAGCAUGGCGCGCUAGAGAAAAUGCGUAUGAACGAGUGCGCGGGUGUCCUGAAGAGUCAUAUAAUCUAUUGCUUAGAUAUGGUGAAGCUCUCAAACUUGCAAAUGUAGGUACAAUAUUUCACAUGGAACUUGAAGAUAAUCGUUUCUUCAAAUAUCUUUUUAUGGCUGUUGGUCCAUGUGUUCGAGGAUUCUUAAACUGCAUUAGACCGGUUAUAGUCAUGGAUGGAACAUUCCUUAAGAACAAAUAUCGGGGUCAGUUGAUAGUUGCUGUUUGCUUGGAUGGUAACAAUCAAAUUUAUCCUCUUGCCUUUGGAGUGGUGGACAGAGAAACAGAUGCUUCAAUACAGUGGUUCUUAGAGAAAUUGAAAGGUGCAAUAGGAGAGGUGCCUAAUCUAGGCUUCGUGACAGAUCGAAAAACAUGUUUUUCUAAGUGUAUUGCAUCGGUUUUUCCCUCCGCAUUCCAUGGACUUUGUGUCCAACACUUGACUCAAAAUUUGAAUGAUAAAUACAAGAAUGACACUAUAGCUACUUUGUUUUACAAUGCAUCUAGAACAUACCGUGAAUCAACGUUCUCAGAAGCGUGGAGAAGUAUUCUUGCAUUUCCUAAUGAUUCAGGAAAAUAUUUAAACGAUGUUGGAAUAACACGUUGGUCUCGUUUUCACUGUCCAGGAAGACGAUAUAAUAUGAUGACAACAAAUAUAGCAGAGUCCAUGAAUUCUAUACUGAAAGAACCUAGAGAUUUGCCUAUUGCUUCAUUCCUUGAACAUGUUCGAGCUUUGCUACAACGUUGGUUUUGGGAGCGUCGAGAAGAAGGCAUUAAAGUGACGUCUACAUUGACUAAAUGGGCAGAGUUAGUUCUACAAAAGAAACAAGAACGAGCUUUGACAAUGAAAGUCAACCCAAUUGAUUGUUACCAAUUCCAUGUUAAAGAUUUAGAUAAAGAGGAGGUCAUAAAUCUUCAUACUCAAGAGUGCACUUGUAAGGAGUUUCAAGCUGAGCAACUACCAUGCGCACAUGCCAUUGCUGUUGCACGGGAUCGCAAUAUAAAUGUUUAUAGCUUAUGUGCUAACUAUUACACUAAUGAAUGUUUGUUGGCAGCAUAUUCGGAGGCCGUCUACCCAGUUGGGAAUCAGUCGGAAUGGAAGACAACCGAAGAAUAUGUACAUAUGACUGUCUUACCUCCGAAAGUAGUCAAAAGAGUUGGUCGACCGAAGAAAAAGAGGAUUCCAAGUGUCGGUGAAGCACCAAAAUUGCAUAAAUGUGGUCGAUGUAAAGAAACAGGCCACAAUAGAUUAACGUGUACCAAUCCAAUUUCAUACAUCCAGAAGUCGAGCAUACAAGAUUAGUACCCGUCUUGGUACGUAGUAAUAGUUUUAUACUUGCUUGGUUUGUGCUUGCGUUGUUUGCAUGAUCACGAUGUAAAAAAGGUUCAUUUUUUUAAUGCAGGUGGAAGAUGCUUAUAAAAUUGUGUCCUGUGUUGUUUGCAAGAUCACUAAAGUCAUCUCACUGACAAUUCUAAGUUGAAGACUUUUCUUCUGCAACUUCAAGACUUUCCUUCUCUUUUUUUUUUAUCCUACAGUGAACUGUUUAUAGAAUAUUUACUCCUUUGGCAUUUCAAGCUUUUUGAGAAAGACUUGAAAUCCUAUUAUGACAAUAUUGUGUGCUUUAGAACUCAAUAAAUGCUCUCCUUUUGCUACUGCAGUAUUAAUGAUGCAAAUCUUGCUGAUUACUUUUAGUUUUUACAUUCAUCUUCAAGGUUCAGCCUCUGUUAGUUUUUACAAGGUUCAGCCCUUGCUGAUUACUUAAAGGUUCAGCCCUUGCUGCAUUUGAAGCCUCUUGCUGAUUACUUAAAGUGUGCAGUAGUAAUAAAUGCAAAGCUUUUGCUACUUUUAGUUUUUACAAGGUUCAGCCUCUUCAAGCAUAUGAACCACCAUUUGCAUGAAGGGCCUUGUAGAUGGAAUCUUAGUCGUGCAGCGAAGUGCGAUCCUUACCACUUUGACUGCGUUCUCCACUUUGAUAUGCUGGGAUCUACCAUCUCUUUCAGAUUACCUUUUAGAUAUCUCAUUCUGCUUUCCUGUUGUUUUCCUGGCAGUUGUCUUAGAAAAUGGGCUUCUUUUAUGUUGGUACUUCCAUUAGAACAACUCCAAAGCUGCAAAGAAUAAUGUUUGAACAAUCCAUGAGAAGUAAAUAAUAUUGUGUGCUUUAGAACUCAAUAACUGCUCUCCUUUUGCUACUGCAGUAGUAAUGAUUCAAAUCUUCAAGCAUAUGAACCACCUCUUCAAGCAUAGUAAUCUCAAGCAUAGUAAUCUCAAUGCAGUAGUAAUGAGUUGACUCUGAAAGUUCAGGUAGUAGCAAGACUGAGCUAAUUUUAAGUAAUGUAUAAAGCCGGCUGGUUAACAGCAAAGGUACAGAACAAGACACAGAUCAAAAUGCUGCUAUUGGUAAUGAGGAUCAAUUGUUCGUACAUAAGAUGUUUUUAUAAUGAAAACCUGCUACGUGAGGCUAUAUAUAAAUCAGUUCCGCAGCCACCAUAAACCUCUGCUCCACCACCGGUAACACAUCAAGAAUGUCUAUAUAAAAGUUCUGCACACUUUACAAUUUUUCACCUGCAUUGUUGUACAUUAUAUAAAAGUUCUGCACACUUUACAAUUUUCCAAGAUAAUGAAAUAAAAAUUGCAUACCAAAAAACAAAAAUGGUCUUCAUUCCAUUAUAUAAAACUAUUUAUGUACAUAGUUUGGAACAUAUACAAUUCCUUCGAAAGUUGAAACUGAAAGUCAAUACAUGGGAUUGUUGGUCCAUAAUUGAAAUGCCAAUUGUUUUCUAAAAUAUGACAUGUUUUCUUGACAUAAUGUAGCUACAUCUAAACCAGAAGCUUCAUAUUCGAAAUACUUAAUUGUAAAUACACCACAAUCACUAUUGUUGCGUUGAAGUGGAAUGGAGUCGACAAUGACAAGUGGCCAAGGUUCCUUGUGUGUUGAUGAUCCGCCUCUCCUAACAAAGAAUCCAGUAGCAUCGAGCAAAUUUGGCACCAUCUCUUGAAUUGGCUCUAAUAUGCUUCUCAUAUCUUCGGCACUCGUCAGCGACGGAAGCGAAUCCCAUACCUUAACUUGACAACGUACCAAGUCCAAGCAUAAUAGAAUCCAAUGAUUGCCAUGGAUAUUGAAUGGAGAGUAAAUGUAAUCAACAUUCACCCAAGGAUCUUGACAGUCUUGUUUUGAUCCGACAACAUAGUCAACCAACCGAUACUCCUCCUUCCAGUGAAAUGGUCGAUUCUCUUUAAUACAUUCUUGGUAUUCAGGCCACUUCGCAACUAAUAGUCGCUGGAAGGAAAAAAAACACACAUGCAUGUAUACAAUGAGACAAUAAGACAAAUAUCAAAAGCAAACUCAGUACAUAAAGUAUGGUUGCGAGUACAAACCAUGAAUAGUGUGUCUACAGUUGUGAAGUUUUGAGCAGUAGGUAUCAUGGCUGUCUUAAUGUUGAAGCGAAUGAGAAGAAACAGUGCAUCCAAAUGCUAAUAGAAACAAAAUAAAGCAUUUAAUUCGGUUAUGCGAUCAAACCAACUUCUUGAAGGUACUAAGUGCUCUAAAACUGUAAAUAAGAAAUAAUGAGAAAAGUUCUAACCUCAUCCGCCAACCACCGACGACACAUGAACAAGUCUCUGAAAAACUCCUUCGAUUUUUUCCCGUGAAAAGUUUCACGCACCUCAUCUUUCGUACGCUUGUCUGUGAUCCAAGCUCUGAGUCGAUCUAAAUGGGCGUCAGGUAUUUUGUGCAUAGGAUCAUAGACGGAUGGUUGAGACUGAGAGGUGGUGGUGAUUGAUUUUGUAGUCCGUUUAUCUAAAGCUGUGAAGGGGGUUGACAAGUAUACACUUGCACGCUUGCUACGUGCGGGCCGAACAUGUGGUCGUUCAGUGGAUAAUGGUUCUAUUUCCAUGACGUCUGAAUCAAAAUAAGUAAGACUUUUUACUCCAAUUUCCUCGUUCAAAUCGUCAACGACGUCUACUGGCUCCUCCGAAUGAAUAUGAACCUUCUUAUCCAACUCAUCCAUUGUGUCAUCCUCCGUGCGGUUUGCUUCGACACCCUAUGGAAGGUCAAAAUGCAUUACUAAGGAUAAAGCAUUAGUAAGGAUGAUUUUCACCCCACUACAGAACUUUGAUUCCUAACCUGCUUUUGACGUUCAACAUGUUUCACCCAUCACUUGUGUCAUCCUCCUUGGGCAUCCUCAACCAAGAAGGUGUACCGGGUGUGUCAACAUCUUCGGUCUGGGCAUCAUGACCUUCAACUCCCGUGCAGUCUCCUUCUUCACCCUUUGGAAAUGUCAAAAUGUAUUGGUAACGUUAAACAAACUUUGAAAAUGUUAAACAAACUUUGAUUCCUAACCUUUUUUUGAACUUCAAGGUGUUUCAAUAUAGUCGACAGCAUUGAUUUUAGGCUUUCACGUUCAUUCUCGAGAACCGCUACUCGAUAUUUGAGUUUUCGAACAACUUCUUUCAUCUUAGACUUCCACUUCUUCUUUUUCUUACUCUUUUUGCAGUCAUUGUCAUCAUUACUAGCUUCUCCUGGUCGUUUUGAAUCACCAUUCUUCUCAGAAACGGUGUUAUAUGGAUGAGUUUUCUCAACAAGUUCCCCUGAAGACAUUCUUAGAUGCUCCUCCUCUUCAGGCAUCAUCUCAAUUACCACGUUAAUUAAGAACUACAAAGUGGAAAUGUAGUUAGUUAGUCAAAACAUAAAGGAACAAAGUCAUGCAUUCGGUAAGUUACUGUUUGUUGAUACUUACCAUUGGUGAGUCAAACACCUGCCUCUGUAGGACAUGAGACUUCGGCGAUAGUUCGCACACCCACCUCAGCAUUCGUGGUAUUGCAUCGUUGCUUACUUUAUGUACACCACAUUCAGUGAUGGUUGGUAUAGACUCAUAUGCCCAAACCUAUUCCAUGUUCAACAAAACAAGUUUAGCAAGUGUCCCAAGAUAUAUGUAUAUAUAAAUAUGUGCAUAGGAAGUAAAGUAACAUACCUGUAACGCCUGCGGAAAUCCCAUGACAGUAUAUUUUGUCUUAGUUGAUUUAUUCUUUCCCUUGGCAUGUUGCAUGUCCAAGGCUCGUUUUAAGGCAGAAAGUGUACGUCCAAAAACCAACCCUCCCCAAUCGUAAUUGUUAAAUGUGGUCCAAUCAUCUGCAAUCCUAAAUAAAGUUCGGUCCACUUUCGUCCGCCUAUCUUUUCCUAACAAUGACAUCUCUAUAAAGUAAACUAGAGCUAAUUUAACUAUGUCAUCGUCAUCGUCAUCCCCCUCGUAUUCCACAAAUGUGUCCUCUAAGUCACUUAUAUAAAUACACUUUUUUUGUUCGAAGAACUUCUCCAACAACCUACUAUUCCCAACCAAAUCAAUAGGCUCUGGUUGAGAACUCCAUAGACCCGUCAUCAUAUUAAAUUCUCUCCUUCCAAAACUGCACACGACUUCUCCUAUCUUGAAACUUAUGUGAUCAACCCUUUCAUCUUCCACCUCUCUUAACAAUAAGUAGUGGAUGAGCGGCCCAUUAAAGAUUAUAUUCAGAUCCAAAAAGUGGCCGAACUUUGUAUUUCUAAAUAAGGUUAAUUGAUCCGGUUUCAAUUUAGCCUUUAUUGUACGUGUACUGUUUUCUAAAUGUGCUAAACUACUUACUAUAGACUGAAAAUGAUGAGCAGGGUCAAUCUUGUACAUGGGACCGUUAGUUGAUGUCGAAGCCAUACUGAGACCUGCAUAAAAAAAAAAACUAAUUAAAUAUAAUUGCAUAAGAGACUUACUUAACAUGGAUGCACUAGCAUCUUGGGACUUCUACUCAAAAUUUUGGAAGGUGAGAGAUAGGUGCUGAUAGGUGAGAGAUGAUGAAAAACUUCAAGGCAAAGUUGCUAAGUCUAAUAGAAUUGCUAACCCUAUAGCCUUAACACCUAGUAGACUAGCUAAACAUGCAUUCUAAACCGUUUAGGAAGUUUACACUCUUAUAUUGGGACUUCUACUCAAAAUUUUGGAAGGUGAGAGAUAGGUGCUGAUAGGUGAGAGAUGAUGGAAAACUUCAAGGCAAAGUUGCUAAGUCUAAUACAAUUGCUAACCCUAUAGCCUUAACACCUAGUAGACUAGCUAAACAUGCAUUCUAAACCGUUUAGGAAGUUUACACUCUUAUAUUGGGACUUCUACUCAAAAUUUUGGAAGGUGAGAGAUAGGUGCUGAUAGGUGAGAGAUGAUGGAAAACUUCAAGGCAAAGUUGCUAAGUCUAAUACAAUUGCUAACCCUAUAGCCUUAACACCUAGAAGACUAGCUAAACAUGCAUUCUAAACGGUUUAGGAAGUUAACACUCUUAUAUUGGGACUUCUACUCAAAAUUUUGGAAGGUGAGAGAUAGGUGCUGAUAGGUGAGAGAUGAUGGAAAACUUCAAGGCAAAGUUGCUAAGUCUAAUACAAUUGCUAACCCUAUAGCCUUAACACCUAGUAGACUAGCUAAACAUGCAUUCUAAACCGUUUAGGAAGUUUACACUCUUAUAUUGGGACUUCUACUCAAAAUUUUGGAAGGUGAGAGAUAGGUGCUGAUAGGUGAGAGAUGAUGGAAAACUUCAAGGCAAAGUUGCUAAGUCUAAUACAAUUGCUAACCCUAUAGCCUUAACACCUAGUAGACUAGCUAAACAUGCAUUCUAAACCGUUUAGGAAGUUUACACUCUUAUAUUGGGACUUCUACUCAAAAUUUUGGAAGGUGAGAGAUAGGUGCUGAUAGGUGAGAGAUGAUGGAAAACUUCAAGGCAAAGUUGCUAAGUCUAAUACAAUUGCUAACCCUAUAGCCUUAACACCUAGAAGACUAGCUAAACAUGCAUUCUAAACGGUUUAGGAAGUUAACACUCUUAUAUUGGGACUUCUACUCAAAAUUUUGGAAGGUGAGAGAUAGGUGCUGAUAGGUGAGAGAUGAUGGAAAACUUCAAGGCAAAGUUGCUAAGUCUAAUACAAUUGCUAACCCUAUAGCCUUAACACCUAGUAGACUAGCUAAACAUGCAUUCUAAACCGUUUAGGAAGUUUACACUCUUAUAUUGGGACUUCUACUCAAAAUUUUGGAAGGUGAGAGAUAGGUGCUGAUAGGUGAGAGAUGAUGGAAAACUUCAAGGCAAAGUUGCUAAGUCUAAUACAAUUGCUAACCCUAUAGCCUUAACACCUAGUAGACUAGCUAAACAUGCAUUCUAAACCGUUUAGGAAGUUUACACUCUUAUAUUGGGACUUCUACUCAAAAUUUUGGAAGGUGAGAGAUAGGUGCUGAUAGGUGAGAGAUGAUGGAAAACUUCAAGGCAAAGUUGCUAAGUCUAAUACAAUUGCUAACCCUAUAGCCUUAACACCUAGUAGACUAGCUAAACAUGCAUUCUAAACGGUUUAGGAAGUUAACACUCUUAUAUUGGGACUUCUACUCAAAAUUUUGGAAGGUGAGAGAUAGGUGCUGAUAGGUGAGAGAUGAUGGAAAACUUCAAGGCAAAGUUGCUAAGUCUAAUACAAUUGCUAACCCUAUAGCCUUAACACCUAGUAGACUAGCUAAACAUGCAUUCUAAACCGUUUAGGAAGUUUACACUCUUAUAUUGGGACUUCUACUCAAAAUUUUGGAAGGUGAGAGAUAGGUGCUGAUAGGUGAGAGAUGAUGGAAAACUUCAAGGCAAAGUUGCUAAGUCUAAUACAAUUGCUAACCCUAUAGCCUUAACACCUAGUAGACUAGCUAAACAUGCAUUCUAAACGGUUUAGGAAGUUAACACUCUUAUAUUGGGACUUCUACUCAAAAUUUUGGAAGGUGAGAGAUAGGUGCUGAUAGGUGAGAGAUGAUGGAAAACUUCAAGGCAAAGGAAAUGGUCUUUCAACAAUGCAGCUUAUGAUAAUGUCUUUAGAAUACAAUAUUUAGAAUGCAUGUUUAGCACAUAUCUAUUGUACUGGUAACUUUGCAGAGUUUAUAUGGGAUACCAAAUAUAUGUUCGAAUUCAAGUUCUAAACUCCAAGGUAUGGUUUUUCUAUUAUUACAGUACAUUGCAAAGGAAAUGGUUUUUCUUCCUAAAAACAGAAUGGCUCCCACGGUUCUCUAUGUCUGUGUGCAUAUGACAUGCAUUUCUUCUCCAAAAUGUGCCAAAAACAAAAAACUCACAUCUUAACAGACAACUUAAACAAACAA